rnacentral:lncRNA from 1 species
UUGCGGAAAUUAGCAGGGUAAGACUGGCUGGGUCUGUAAUCACUAAAGUAAUUGUCUUUGGGCUGAUAACCUCUUUCAGGUUCAGCAGAGCGGUAGUGGUAUCCACCUCCUCCAUAUGCAACCCGUGGGUCCAUUCCUCCGUAUGGAACUCGAGGAUCCAUUCCUCCAUAUGGGACUCGAGGGUCCAUUCCUCCGUACGACAUUCGAGGGUCCAUUCCUCCGUUCGACAUUCGUGGGUCCAUUCCUCCGUUCGACAUUCGUGGGUCCAUUCCUCCGUUCGACAUUCGAGGGUCCAUUCCUCCAUAUGAGCUCCUAGGAUCCGCAUACAUUGUUCUGGGAUCCAUCGUAGGUUGAAAUCCUCUAUAGUCAUAGCUGUGUGGCUGGAAAGAUGCUGGAUAUUCCAUUUUCCUGUCGUUGUUCUGGAUGUGAUUCUGGUGAUUGUUGCCACCUCCACCACCUCCGCCACCACCUUUAGCCUUCGCUUCGCCGCCACCUUUACCUCCGCCUCCUUCGUUCUUAUUCUGAUUGUCGUUGCCACCUCCACCACCACCUCCUUCUUUACCCUUGGCCUUUCCUUCGCCUCCACCUCCACCUCCGCCUCCCUCACUCUUGUUUUGGUUGUUGUUGCCACCGCCACCUCCACCUCCACCUCCUUCUUUAGCCUUGGCCUUCCCUUCACCACCCCCAUUACCUCCGCCUCCUUCUUUCUUAUUCUGAUUAUUGUUGCCUCCGCCUCCACCUCCACCACCUUUGCCUCCACCUCCUUCGUUCUUAUUCUGAUUGUCAUUGCCUCCACCACCACCACCACCUUCUUUAGCCUUGGCCUUCCCUUCACCACCCCCAUUACCCCCACCUCCUUCUUUCUUGUUCUGGUUGUUGUUGUUACCGCCACCACCGCCGCCGCCUCCUCCUCCUCCACCACCUUCUUUAGGUUUGGCUUUCCCUUCACCACCACCACCUGAUUCUUUCUUAGCUUCCACAGGCCAAUUGGCCGCCUUCUUGUCUACGUUCUUCUUGAAUUUCUUUAACAAAGACGCAGGAUCGAUAUAUCCUACGACAGUAACUUUGCUGUGGCCACGGUCAAUGCUCACUGAUUGCACACCUGCACCGUGAAAAAGAGUCCUUUAGUGUACGUAAAUAGAAUGUCGAAGCGGAAAGCUUGAUAAAUUUCUCGAUGAAAGACUACCUCAAUUCGUUUGCGAUGACAGAAAGACAGACGGAAUAACACUCACAGAACAAGCUCUGUAUAAAAAGUGCGAAUAUUCAUUCUUCUCGUACACAUUAUCUGCACCAACUAUCAAGAGUGAAAUUGAGGAUGGCGAAAGAAAAUAAUAGUACCAGGGGCAUAUCGGGCUUCCUCCAGAACCUUCUCCUCGCACUUGGGGCAGCACAUCUUCACUUUGUACUCAUAUUUCUGCAACCCAGCAGAGGGACAGUGAUUCAUCCAAAAUGCGUUAACCGUUGAAUAGCCGCGAAUUCAUAAGGUAAGUAGAUAAAAAAUGUCUACCAACAGAAGUGGAGAACACCCACACUACAAUUGACCUCACAAUAUCACCAAUGCUUUCCACAGACCGAGUCUAAUAAGUGAAGAAUCAAGAGAUGGACGCGAGUAACAUUACUUACAGGCACUGAGGGUGCCUUGGGUUUGUUGUCUUUCUGCUCGCCCUUGUUAUUAUUGUUGUUCUUUUCACCACCACCACCUCCUCCGCCACCUCCCUUUCCCUUUUUACCCUUCCCAUCACCAUUCUCAGUGAUCCAUUCAGGAUCAUUGUUCUUGUUCAUAACCUGAGCGAUUCAUUCUAGAUGUCAAUGAAACCUCUACAAUAAUAAUACAGGGAACGCAGGAAGAAAGAACACAACGCCCACUUUACUUUCUUCCCGAGUUCGAACACCAUCUCAUUUUACCGCCAAGAAGUGCAAAAAAGCCCAUAAUCCCAAAACCUGACAUACAGACAAGAUUCAAAUAACAUAAUUUCAUCCUCUCGUAGUAAGACAAUCAUGUUCAACGCAGCAAAGCUUUGUAGCUGCAAUCACUAAAACGAAGGUCCUCGUCUAAAACACUGAAGCGACGGCGUGUCACAAACACAGAAAACACACGAACACGCACGAACCCGCAACAUCAAAGUGUUACCCAAACCAGACAUUCAGUGGUCAAGUCGACAACAUACCUCGUUCAUGGACGCCAUCUCGACGCAGCGUCACGCCCACAACGAUCUGAACCUCUUAUCACCAACAGAGCUAACCCACUUUACUGUUCCCAAGAAGGAUAGUAUAAUUCUCACUUAAAGCACCCCACCCCCAGCUAAGUCUGCCAUCAAGGAGCAGCGGCAACUGGACUCACGAGAAAGCCGAAUACAAUGGAUCAAGGGACAGGCAUGAAAUAUGCUCACGACGGGACAGGGGACAGGAUUGUUGAGACAAUUCAGCUUCAAAGGCGGGGAGCUUCGAGGAUGAAAUGGGGCGCUUGGGGGACGGUGGCCAGAGAUGGGGCUAAGGUGGCAUUUCAGUAAACAACAUUAUAUGAGAAUAAAGCCUACAAACCAUUUGUGAGAUUUUUUGUCGUGCCAGUGGGACCCGCUUAAAGAAUGAGUAAGCAUAGGGUACUAGGACGGAGGGAGGGCCACCUUCCGGGAACACGACAAACACUCAAGUGCCAAAACUACUUUGAAAGCGAGGCCACCUGUUGCCUCUACAGCUAGAAACUUGAGACCGUGACGGUAGAGUCCAGGGCCCUCUUGGAGAGCCUGUGCUCCUCUCGUCCAUGCUCCUCCAGACUUCCGAUGGGGUUGGCUGAACGCAUCCUAGGUGCGUCAGACCCGCCUGUUUUUAUCAUUGACGGAAUCAGCAGCAACAUCACUAAACUUGCGCUACCUCACAAGUAGCAACUCCCCUUUCGUCGAUGGCUUUAAGAAAGAAUGAAAUAAAGAGAACACUGAAGCGUGUGCACUGGGAUCCACCUUUUCCCGACUACUCACAUACGACAAUCCUAAAAUUUCAUCCUUUUUGACGAUAGGUUGUUGCGUUGAAUUGUUUAGCGGGCAACAUUUUUUGGUAUUAAAAAUAUCGUGUAUUAAUUCAGUAUGUAAUACGACAAAUCUCCAUACACACGAGAACAAAAAGUACCUAUAGAUUGCCCUGGAAAUAAAGUUUCAACAUUGCAGACAAUCGUGUGACGUACUGCCAUUGUCUUGGCAAAACUGGAUCCCUCCUAUUGCGAUUCAAGUUAUCUCAAUCGACGAUGCAUAGGUUUCGAUGAGAAAUUGAUGGUGGCAUUCGGAGAGACGAAUGAUUUUCCUGGAAACCCCAACUGUUCUUGAUGUCAAUCUGGUUACAUUGUGUUGAAAAGAAAUAGGAGCAUAGGCACAAUGGGAGCUGGUAAUAGAAGAUGCGGUGCUCCAAUUGCCAUCAACUGCGAUGCUUUGCAGCAUGAAUAGUUACUGAUGCGGUGCUUUUCGUGUUUUAUAAGUUGUAAACUACAGAAAUUUGGAUUAUCGAAUUGCUCAAAUUUGUUUCAUGAAUUCAGUGCGUGUCGGACGGAAAUAGUAAUUCAGCAAAGAAGACCACCCAUCCUCUCUGAUCUUUUUUUGGUACGCGAUGUGACAACCAGCAGAUCAGGCUCUGUCAUUAAGACGGACACCUGGAAUAGCAAUCUUGAAAUUUCGGAUUCUCUGACCAACUACACCACUCCCGAGAAUCUCUCAACAUACAUGCUGGCCUGCAUACUCGUUCACGGUCAUGUGUAAUGAUAGCAAUUUAACAAACGUCAUGAGGUAAUAGGUUCUCUCUAAAUACCCAGUCACUUGGAUAUGCACCUGUUGACACAUCUGCUAACAAUAGGGUAGAUCCUCUAUUUCCAUCACUAUAUCCAGAAUGUGUCUUAAGGUUCGUCAACAGCAAGUUGCGCGUCCAAAGCUGAAAAAUCUUCGAAAAAAGCUUUGAAGUGAUUGUAUGAAUAUCCAACAUCAUCAACUCCGCACAUCUCUCUGAUGCUAUGCAUCGACAACUGGGGUGCCCCAACAUCAACAGUACGAAUGCCAAUUCCACUAGCCAAGAUAGGUCCAAUAGUGGACCCACAUGCCACAUCAUUUCGCACCACAAAGUUCUGUUUCAAAACAUAAAACCAACAAAAUGAGUUUCUAAAGUAGUGCAAAAAUUCUCACAAAAAAUACACCAGAUGCUCUUCCGAAACCACAGCUAAGAUAACAAACAUGCGAGAUCUGUUCAUCGUAAAGCAAAUGUAUAAGAUGAUCGUACAAAUUAUCAGAUGAAACGCAGACCCAGUAAUCAGAUCUAACCUGUGUAGGAAGAUUGCGCAACUUCGCUAUCUCUCGGAAGAUGAAAGAAGUUAUGGCAUUCGUUGCGUAGCGCUGGUUAGCAUUGUCUUUAAUCACAAGCCCUCUGUGCAUCUUUGGCUGAUGGUUCUCCUCAUGCUUUUCCUGGAUUAUUUCCAAAAGUAAUUCAUAAACAAUCACCUAGUUAUUAUAUGGGCAAGUGAAAUCUCAUUCCACUAAUUGAUGCAGCUCUCCAUCCACUAACUAUCGAAACACUAUAACUUCGUUUAGUUCUAGACAGCACAACCACACCAAAAAGAUGUAUACUUGAAAACGAAGCUAUCAUCAAUCCAAUCUUCGCAGCAAGAGGCUAAGCUAGCAGCUCACCGGGUAAUUGGGAUGCAAACAAUGCGCCAUGUCUGCAGAAACCAAAAAGCUCUUCUGAAUUGCUCUCUCUAAAAGCCCCUGAGGUGCGCAGAAAGUAACAGGUCGUAAGUGAUCUCGGCUCAUCUUACUGAAGGUCCUGACAGCCCUUUCUUUCUAGGACUACCUAAUACUACAAUCUGAAAAAUAAUUUGGACUAGUACGUUUGUCAGAUCCAAUAUGCUAGUAUCCACAAAGAUGUACAAAACCAUUGAGAUUACAAGACUAUCUUGUAGUACAGUUUCGUACAAUCACGCCGCUCGCACGCCCUCACCCGAGGGCAUCAAAGAUUCGCUGAUUCGACUCUGAAAAUAGUUUUGGACUUCCAAAAAAUUACUUUAAAGAACUUCCCACCAUUCACAGAACCAGAGCUUGUUACAACCUGAAGUACAGCUAAUGUGUUCAAAAUGGCGAUACCUCAGCAGAUGAUUCCCCAAAAUGGCUUGUGAUACGUCUCAAAGCAUCAACCAGAACUGGAGACCCGGCACCCUGAGCGGAUUGAGAACCUACUUCUUCAUGAUCGAACAAAGCGACCAUGCGUAUUCCUACUUCUUCGGCCAAAUCUGAUGAUGAGUCGAUCAAUGCCUAAAACCCCACAUACAACACAACAUUUGGAGAAUAUUAGCAGAAUUCAUAAUUAGGAUACUCCGUCGAUCACAUAAUCAUUUUCCAGCAUCACAUUAGGGUAAAAAAGAAUCCUAAUCCUCGCAAUAAAUAAAUAAACGACUAUAAUCGCUUAAAAUAAACAAUUUUGUACUUGGAUUGAGAAUAUGUAUCAAAUUAUAUGAGGGGUUGACCUAUAGCUAACUGUAGUGAGCAAGUGCAACGGCCAAUAUGAAAUCAGAUCGUUCAGUUUAAGCCACUGUAAGAUUACAUAUCGUAUUUUGAGUACCGAGAAUCUUCUCGUUGACAACUCAACAUUAGGAUUUAUCUUACCUUCAAAGAGCAAAAAGACGAACAGAGAUUGUCGAGUCUGCCUGAAAAUAUGAAUUCUUUCAGAGCUCCACCAAUAAUGCUAGGUUGCGUGUCACAAACUUGAAUAUCGAAGUCAACAAUUUCAUCAGGUUUGCAUGCAAGCUCGUUAGCAAGUAACUGAAAGGCAACCAAUUGAGGGAUAGGUUAGGCAACACGAAGCCAACAAUUACAACGACGGAAGUCGGAAAACUGGUCGUAAUUGUAUUACUUUAGUGAAGCAGGAUCACAUCACAGUGAUCAGCAGUCAAGACAACCAUGGACUUCAACUCAAGGUAAAUCGAACCCUACAUUAAAUAGAUGAGGAACACUUCUUCACUCUAAAACAUGUGGAGAACGAAAAUCGAUUUGAUGCGCUUAUCACUUAAGAUUGAGACACGAAGUACCUGUAGAAGAAGUGGAUGAUGAUCAUCUGAUUGAUUUCCAUUGCAUUUAGAGGGUGAAGUGUCCUCUUCCGUACUAUUGGACCCGGCGGGCUUGUUUGUUUCCGCCUGUCAUAUUUCACGUAACACCAUUAGGACCUCACUUUUCUACUUUUCCUAGAAUACCGCUAAUACUAUGUUUGAGAAUUUUGAACACUUCCCGAUACAUGAUCAAGGAAUUCAGGGCCUUGUUGCGACGUGAGUAAAUUACUGUGUCGAUUCCAAAAUAUGCGAGACUUAAAACUUGUGCAGAAGCAGAUCUUACUUUAAUUAUUGAAGCUAGGACAGGUGCUAAAUGUGUCUGCGUGUUAACUUUGAACCCAUCAUUGACACCUCUGCAAGCACGAUCAAUCAUCAGUAAAAUGUUUAAUGAGAAAUACAUGCCCCGAAGACAUCUUUCUGGUGCAAACAUCAUACAAUCAAAGAGAGCCAUCACCGCUAGCACCAUAAUAAGACCAAUCAGUGGAGUAAUAUUUCUUUGGCAGUGAAGAAAGGGCUCCAAUAUACAUUAUUAAAAUCAUAAGAUUAUCAAACCAAAAUAAAGAUGGCCAUUACCACAGUAAGGAUCCUAAGCUGUAAUGCUGGAGACAUCGGGAAUAGAAAGUGUUUAGAGACAUGCACUACUUCAACUCAUACCAUCACAUAUGUGCAAUGUCUACUGAAGCCACCUUUACCUGUAUACAUCAGAACGAGAAAAAUAAAACCGUAAAAUGUGAAUUACCUGUCCAGAUGAAUGGCAAGUGUAGGAAUCCGCAUGAUCGGCUGCUCAACUCUUACAAGCUCGUGCGAGUAAGAAGAUUUCUCUCCAUUUUUUCGCUUGAGCACCACUCGCCCAGCAACCGUCAGAUCUCGGUCAAACCAAGUAUGCCAUAAGCCGCCUCCAUAGGUGCUUACACCAACCUCCAAAAAGCCACUCUUGAUGACCUGCGCAAUGAACAAGACAAAGUAACUAUUAGCAAUUCCUAAGCAUAUAACACGGGAAUAGGCUAAGGCAUAAGUUACGUUGAAUCACGUAGACCCCAAAGAAAGUAAUACAAGUCCGAAAAUCUCCCAUUUAGUAGAACAUAAUGAGGCGAUUACCUUCGUUGUAGGCUUUAGUUUUGGGCAGGGACUGUCCGUAUGUGCACCAAUAAUCAAGAAUCCAUUACCAGGAACAUACCUGCACAGAAACAAACGGCGACAAAGAAGAUUGAUAUUGUUAUCAAGCUAAAGGGAAGUAGUUUAAUAUCAAUAAAAAUAAGGACAACUACAACAUAAGGAACAAUUAAAAGGUAGGAAGAAAAACAAACUUCGAAAGCUAGAAAACGUUCAAAUCCAAUAACAAAAAUAACCAAAUUUUAAAAUAAAUAAAAGAAGAAAAAAGAAAAAGAGAAGGAAACUUAGUAGUUUACUGUUUUAUAAUUUUGAUACGAUUAUGAGUGAAAAUACUUUACAUUAUUCUGGACACUAAUGACAUGAUAAAUAAUGGUUAUCCCAAUAAAAGGCUGCAAGCUUCAAACUUUAAUUUGAAGUACUUGCAAUAUGAAACUGAAUAGCCUGAAAUUCAUCGGCAUUAAUCCAGAGCCACCCACUCAUUAAAAGAAGACACAAGGAAUAAGAAAAUAAUGAACAGAACUUGCUUUUUGCCAACUGCGAAAGCAACUAUGGUCGAGUAAUUUCUUGUAAAGAAAUAUCUCCCUCCAGCUUCCAAAGUCCAUGACGCUCUUUCAGACAGUUGCUGAUAGCCUGCUUUCAGUAGUCUGUUUUUUGAUUCCUCUGAACAAACAAGAACAAUCGUAGUUUUUAGACAACAGUAAAAUAGACCUCGAAAGCAACAUAAAUGGACAACAAUGCAUUACUUAAGUCCAGUCGAGAUUUAGAACGUGCAACACAUCACCACAUCACCACAAGACAACAAGAGUAAUACUACACAGUUCCAACAUUUGUAUUGUUCCUAAUCCAAUAAAUCCGAACAUGAUAGUUAGAAGUUUGAAAUUUUAUUUAAUUAAUCAUAAUUGUAAGCGUUUUAUUUCAAAUUCAAAUAACUCGUGACUUGACUUCGGGUAUCCUCGGAUGCAGGUGCAUAGAACAAUCUGGGGGGAAUUUAAAAAGAAAUUGUGCGUCAUUUGAGUAAACCAAAGUAGCAAAUCACACAAUCAGCACUGAAUUGUGAUCGAUUCAGGAAAACUACCAGACAUCAACCACAGUCAUCUUGAAACACGAAGACUUCGACGCCAGAAACUAAACAGCAUCCCGAUAUUAACGAGACGUAAAUUAAAUCAAAUUAAAUUAAAUUAGUAGCACGUUCACUAACUUCAAGUUUCAAUAGCAUAAUCUGGACGCAAAAUCUUGGCGAUCUGCAUCCAAACACCUGGUGCCUAGAUCCUCAUCUCAAUAAUUAAAGCAAGACAUCUGGUACAGGGGUUGUAUAAAUUGGAAAGCUCGUAACGUCUCAUUUUCACACCCCCUCCCAAAACCUUGUAAACCCUAAGAAAAUCUACAAACCGGCAAUCGUUCUGAAAAAUGAGACUGAUCAAUCCAGCGGCUAGUAGCGACUGAGAGGACUCGACAUUCUGAUUCUGCAACAGUAAGACCUCAGUAUCCAAAAAUCUGUGGGACCAAGUAACAGAAAUAAUGGAGUCGGUGAGAAGACUAGAAACGUACGGACGGCAUGGAAGGGAGUUGGAGACGCAUUCAGGAAGUCAACAAGCUCCUGUGCCACAGAAUCCACCAUGGUGCACAAGCGCAAUCGUUAGUGAUGCCGAUGUGUAGUUCGUUAAUGUAUACCCCUCUAAAAACACUUCAAGGGGCUCAAGACCUGGUGUUUAAGAUCGGUUCGAAGCACCGCUUUAUGGAAAACCCCACUUCACGCAGGCUCUGAGACGAAUGAAUGAAACAGAUGUUCCUCCUCAGUUUCCGAUGGAUGACCUCAAUUGGGUCCUUGAAGAACUGGUGCCAUGAUGUGUAACACUCGUUCAUCAUGUUAACAGAGAUGGCUCAGUGUUCUUGACGAGGUUGUCACCACCCAACUGAGAAAGCCUCUGUUCCUAAUGGAAAAAAUCCUAGUUUCGAGGACUUGAUAGGACAAGUUAAUGUUGUUGAAACCAACAAACUCUAUUGGUAAAACCUCAGUCAGUUUUCGACUCGACUCAAUGCGUACGAUUAAGAGAUUCUUUGAACAUUUUUAGUUCUGCUGCUGAAAUUGCAAACGUAAAUUUUUGUUUAGAUGUUGAGAGUGUACGAUAGAUUCAAAGUGUCCUAAUGUGUGUAGCUGCCCGCCCGCUGCCCCCUCCCCGAGUUCCCUGCUACCUCUACAUCUGUUGUGCUUUACGAGCUUGGCAUACACCUUUGAGAAAGUCACCUGCAGACUCCACACAGCGGUGAGAAGCUCUUCGUGAGUGGCUCUUCCGCUCCAUGGAAGUUUCAAUAAUUGCCUCGCCCGGGACCAUAACAAGACCCGAUGGAGCCCAAUUGAUAAGUUUUCUCGUUCCGUCAGUAGCUCGCAUGAAAUGAUCGCGUGCGUGACAUCAGAAGGUGGAAUCUGGUGCUAAAGCAUUCACAACGAGUAUGUCGACAGGGAAUGUUUCCUUGUGUGCAUAUCGUUUCACGAAACCCGGACGAUUCUCAACAAAUCGAGAAUGGAAGGUGACCGCACUGUUGUCGCAUUGAGGCAGACAUAUUGAUCACUAAACAAAUACAAAAACAUAACUCGUUCCGAGGCUCAUUUGCACGAUCCAACAGCUGACGCAGCUGCUUCUGAAACGCUUAACUUUUGCAGCUGUGAACACAAACUCUAAACUGCCCGGUCAAGCGGAUCUGAAUGGCCAUCUGAUUUGGAAAUUUGAGUUUCAUAGAUGAGGUGUGCCAACAAACAUGCCACGUCGGAACUGAUAUCAGCUCAUGGAUCACAAGGCUUCUUGCACGUUGAUAAAGGCAGAUUGAAGUGUGUUCGUGGGCACGAGUGCCGUCAUCUUAGGAAACAUGGAGGAGAGGGCGAUGGAGAAACUGACCCCAGACUGUAUUUAUGUACCAAAUACCUAGAAUUUGACAUGUUGCACUGCAUAUUUGAGAGGAGGAAGUUGAUCUUAAAUAUGCGUACUGUCAAAAGCUUCCAUAUUCUGUAAGAAUAUCUUCAUAAGCUGAUCAUGAACCGUAACGCUAAUUCAAAAAAAGAGUUCUUUUUUACUAAAUCAAGAUAAGGAGCUUCGCAAAGAGGGCAAAACACUUCGAAAGCACUUUUUGAAUUUUUAUCAAGGAAAAUUGCCAAGAUGAACAGCCUUAGUUGUAAGACACUACUUGACACUAAUUUAUGGUACAGCCACACACUUGAGGCAUUUGCUCAGCGUGGUGGUUUAAGAGUAAAAAGAAAAAUGUGAACACUAUCAAGGCACCAGUCCAUAGCUGAUCUAGCUAUUCUCUGCAUCUGAACUGUUAUCCAAUCUAUGUCAAAAACAUGACAAAGAUACUACUGUACAAGACAAACAUAACAAGCAGAACUGAAAAGGUAGAUCGUUGACUUCGAGAUGCGAAGAGUGAAAGAUGGAUCCCAUACGAACCCCUUUAAUAUGAGUGGUGCCUCUGAUGUAGUUCACUGCUGACUUGCCGGAGGUGGUAAAGAUGCAAGAUUGGAAACCAAAAUUGGGGAAGCAGAAAAUUCACAUAGACCGGUUUCCUCUUGAAUGUCGUAAAAUUUCCGACCCCGGACUACUCGCGUGCACCCGCAAAUCCUGACCAACAGCUCCUUCAGAGGCUGCAGCUGUGUGUUCGCGCCUGAGUUUCGAAUGCUUCGAUACCCCACCAUAGCGGUGUGUUAAAAGAAUAUAAAUCAAGGUCCGCUCAUCGGCCGCUUGGCCACACCGUGUGCAGAACGCAUGAGAGUAGUAAGUGCUUACUGCCCAAGCAGGCAACUUCGACAAGGAGAUGUUGGAGUUCUCGUUGUCAAGACAAUUGUCCGUUCUAGCACAUGGGCAUACACAAUGAAGCUUCGCAUUCAAAAGCUUCAAGGAGCAUGUAGAGUCACAACCCACGGACCAUCUCUGCUUAUUAGAGAAAUUUUCAUUUGAGUAGUACAUAGCGGCUGCCAUGUACAUCUCGGCCAAAUGACGAGGGGAGAAAGAAACGGGACACCUGCCACAUCCCGUACAGAACGUGUGCCUGUGGUGAAAACUCAGGGCCCAGUAAGUGUGCAAAUCCUUUCCCGUGCACUCACACCUGAUUCCCUUCUCGAUAUCGUCCAUCCGCGCGACCAAAAAUAAUUUGGAGGGGUUCUUAAGUUCUUCAGGAAGAUCGGGAAAAUCUCCACUUGAUGAAGGUGAGUGGUGGAUUGCGCCACGAUGCUGAGCAUGCUUGGGCGUCCCCGGUUGUGAAUACUGUCGAGCUCCCAGUGAGGAUUGAGACAUAAGCGCAGAAUGCCUGUGUGGAGAGGACGAGGUUGAAGUCGGAGAAUUAGGCUUCCGAGACUCGGGAACGUCGAUGCCGUAGCACUCCAGUUCCCUCUUGAGCCUAAAAAGCUCACUUUCAGACAUUUUUGGUAGGGCUUCGAAACUGCCAUACCUCAGAAUAAGGAUCAUGUUCUGGAAUGUGCCCUCGUCACAGUCAAGGACGAUGGGGUCCGGAACGCGUUGCUUCUCGAGUAGAGACGCGAAGUAGGUAGAAUGCUUCAAAGUGUCAGCAGAGACCGUGAAUGGCACCCGGUUGCGCCCCACAUAAAAAGUUAAGUCGGACGGCCGAGGCAAGACCUCUCGCCGAUCCUUGUCACGGGAAUGGAUUCUGUCUAGCUGGACGCUGGUCUGGACGUGGUGAGAGCGAGUAAGAUGCAAGUGAUCCAUCAUUGUAGGCGCCAUAACAUCCGCAGCUUCGUCGGGGGUAGAUAUUACAUCCUUAGCGGCAGAGCGAGGUGGCAUUCUCACAAGAGGCGGAAACUGCUUCUGCGGCUGCUGCUCGUCCCGGACCAGCCGUGACUCCAGGGAAGACGGCAAAAAGAAUUCCGAUAGAUUCAUGAACGGUUGCCGUCCAAGAAAAGAGAAACGCAGACUUCAAGGCGGAUCACCUGCUCGCCUAUCUCGAUCCCAUUGAAGCCAUUUUAGACACACUCGCCAAAAUGUGCAUCCCGCAAAGGGCUCAACGUUGCGCACAGACAAUCCGAAGCGAGAAUCGCAAACGGAUUAAAGAAGAUUCAAACCCAACACUGCCAAACAACGUCUCUCAUAACCAUCUAUACUUCUCAAAAUCAAUCCUCUUUCGGGGCCUAGAGAAGCCCCAAAGAUGAAAGUAACACAAACAAACGACUCUACUCCACACAAGAACUAAACAGCAGAUAUACUCUGCAAGCUAAAACUCCAAAAAGCCUGUGAUGCCCGCACCAAACAUGUAAGAAACCCCUCAAAACCUAGCAACGGCACUCUGUUCGAGAAUGAAGGAGGAGCAGAGUUUCAUAACAAGACAAACGAACAAAACAAAAGCAAACGAACAACUAGCGCUCAAGUUACGUCGUAGAGGCUAGAACAUCCACCGUUAGCAAGACGCAGUACACCCACAAUCCGCCAAUCUGGCAAUCUACCCACGAACUCAAAAAAGAUACCUCGCCCUCACCUUCACCUAGUCUCUCUCUUUCUCUCUCUCGCAUCCAGUUUCACACAGCCCAGUAGAGCAUCGACACACACACAUACGUUCACCCACACACACACACAUACGUUCACCCACACACACACACACUCACUUUCCCAUCAAAUGACACGAGGGGCGGACGCAGCACAAGCUUUGGGCUGGGAGGCUUGCACGCGUCACCACCCGGAAGCUACGCAAAAUCCCGACACAGCCAGGCUAAAUCCCACCCCACAAGGAUCAAUCGCAGGAAACGGGAAAUCGGCGAGCUGAGUGGGGAUGAAUGAAUGAAUGGAUGGCUGGAUGGAGGGAAGGAAGGAAGGAAGGAAGGGUGGAACCCACCAAGGGAUGGCACCGUUCCCAACGCAACCCACCGUUGUCCUACCUACCUACCUACCUGUCUGCCUGCCUGCUGAUGAGGAGGAAGAGGAGCAGUAACAGCAGAAGCAGAAGCAGAUCACCACCACGUUGCCAAAGGACAAGACAAGCGGGCACAAAUGCACCCUCCCCCUGCUCAGCAACCCCAACCCCAACCCCACCCCCACCCACACGCUUUCCGACACUCCCCUCCCUCGCUCCCUCCCUCGCUUGCUUGCUCUUUAUGACGUCUGCCCUGAUUCGCCUCUCACUUGCUCGGCAUUUACUACCCCCUCCCUCUGUCCCCGCCUUCGUUCGAAUUCCUCGUCCCUCCUCCCCCCCGCUAUGGCGCACGUUGCGCGGGCAUGGCUGCAUCCACCAUUAAUGGAUGCUGCUGCUGCUGCUGCAGGGAGGGGGGUGGCAGUGGGGGUGGGGUGCUGGAAUCGCCGUAAUGGAUGCGAAAUCAUCGGGAUGUUCUACUGGCAGGCAGGGGAUAAUGGACACUCAGUCACUUAGAUUGAUUGUCCUGAAUUCUCGGCCACUCCCCGUAUUCUCCCUAAUUCCGCCUUUUCCACCCAUCUCCCUCUCUCUCUCUCAGAGACAGAUAGACAGACCGACAGAGGGUGCCCUUUUGGAUGGGUGCUUUCUGUGACACUGCGCUGAAUGCCCCUCUCCUCUUUGUUGCCAUCCCGGCCCCCCUUUCCUGUUUGUUUGUUGGUAUUGCCCCAAUACCUUCACCACCACCGUCAUCACCAUAGCCAUAGCCGGACUGGGACUCUCACUGACUCACUCCACUGACUGACUCUUCUGCACUCACUCACUCCCCUGUGUGUGAUGGAGUGAGUGCCUGUCUGUCACAGGGUCAUGUCCCCCAUUAGUUAGAUUGAUUGCAUCUAAUGUAAGUGCUCCCACAACGCUACCAUUCCUCUCUCUCUCUCGCUCUCGCUUUUCUUUACUGUCUGUUCUUACAUUACAACACUCACCUACUUCGCUAAGAUUCUCCACUUGUGUUCUUCGCCCAUCUUUGCAGUGAUCACAUCCAGUAAUAUUGUUGGACUAAUAGUCAUUGGAAUUUCACCAUGCUUUAGUAAGCCUUUGAUUUCUUUCCAUCAACGAAAAGCCAAAAAAAGUCAUAUAAUAUUACUUUAAUCAAUCUAUUCUUAGUUUUUUUCUAUAAGUUUUAUUACUAAGAAACCUAGAUAAUCAAAAUUAUCUCAUUUACAACUAAAAUAACAAGCAAAUAAACACUAAAUUUUGUCUCAAAUUGUCUUACAAUAGAAAACUACAAAAAAUGAUAUUACUGGAGGUAUGAAAGAAAAAAAACUAAAUUUUCAUCAAAUGAAAUAAUAAUAAUAAUAAUGCAAUGGAAUUUUUUUAAAAUAAUGUUUGAAUUUUUUUUGAGCCUGAAUUUUACAAUAUUGUUUUAAAAACUAUCAUCAUACAAAAGUUUCUAAAGGAAGAUAAGCAUGACACAAAUAGCCUUGGUACAGACAAGAGUCAACCACAACAUGUUUUUACCAACUAGAAAAAGUCUUUGUUUGCAAUGGAUAUAGAAUCUUAUCAAAAACUGAAGAAUGUUAUUUAAAAUAAUUAUAACAGAGACAAUACAUUUGAAUCAAUCCACAUUCUGCCCCUAGUAUUUUAUAUUUGACCAUCAACUAUUGAUUCAAGAAACACUCAUGUAAACCAAAUGAUAGAAAUAACUUGCUUUUUGUUUUUUUCUUGAAUUUUAACUUUAUAAAGAAUACACUGUUAAAAAAAUCAAUAAUAAAAUAUUUUAAACAAUAAAGAAUACUUAUUCUUGAAUUUUUAUAUAUCUAUUAAUUAGCCAAUAUGAAACAUUGAUUUAAAAUAGACACAAAAAAAUUGUAUACUUCUAAACAAAAAAAAUUAACUGAAUUGAACCAAAACAUUGAAUUUAGCAAAAAAAUAGGAAUAACUUUCAACUUCUUAUUUUUCAACUAAUGACAUGAAUAAGUUAUUAGUUGACAAGGUGAAGAAGAAAUUAACUUAAUGUUACAACACAAAGAUCAAUGCUAUUAAGAAAGAGGUAGUAGCCAAUAGUGUUCUAUUUUAAACUAUGAUCUAUUUCUUCCUUUGUUGGAUAAGAAAAAAAAAAAAGUUGUAUAGAAAAAAAAAGAAUCUGGUGGCUUUAUACACACACAUAUACAUACAUACAUAUAUAUAUAUAUAUAUAUAUAGUAAAAGAAAGAGACAUCAACUUUGUGAAUUAAAAAAUAUUGUACUAACUCUCUUACAAAAUAGAUUAUUAAGACCAUGGACAUAAACUCAUCUAUCGCUUUUUCUUGUUUUGAUGUUGGCCAAAAUAAUUUCAACCUUAUAUCGUUAUGUGUUUAAUAAGUUUAUUUAUGUUAGUACAUUGUGGCUAAUAUUUUGUAAAGCAAUUUUAUAUAAUAUUGGGACCUAAUAGAAUGACAAGUUUUUUGAGAAAUAACUCAAGUUUUCUAAUUAAUUAUUUCACAAAACCUACUUCUAGAUUAUUAAUUAUAGCUACAAUUCAUGAAACACACACACACAAAAAUAUAUAUAUAUAUAUAUAUAUAUAUAUAUAUAUAAAGAUAAAGAUAAAAUAAAAGUUUAAAAAUAAACCAAAAAGUGUGUGUGUGUGUUUUUAUUUUAUUUUAUUUUAAAUACACAACAUUAAAGCAAUAUUUUUGAAGAAUGAAUAAAAGACCAACUUUAUAGGUAUCUCUUCCAAUCCAACCACCCAACUAGAGUGUAGAAUGUCAACCCAAGAUAACAUACUUAUUGCAAUUAUUUAGAUAAUUAUUUUGCUACAUUAUUACUCUCUCUAUAAAUUGGUAGAGACUUGUAUACUACCUUCUAUUUUUAGACUACGGCCAUAUUCUUUUUGAUCAUGAAAACAAUACAGAACCAAUAUUUAAGAAUAAUAAUAAUAAUAAACAUGUCAUGGCUGUUUGCUAAUACAUUUUUUUAGCAAAAACUAAUGACCAAAUUACGUGCCUUGACUUGGUGGAGUUUUGAUCAGAUCAUCCCAACAGCUUUUACAACACACUUACUUAAAUCUUUUUUCUUUUCUUUUUCUUGUGUAUGGUAGACUUGAUAUUAUUCAAUACUCAAUCAGAUCACUUGUAGCAUGGGUGGUUUUUCUUUCCUACCUCAAUUCUUCCUCCCACUGCACUCAAAGUUGUUAUUCUAUUUAUUGUGUCAAUAUAUAUAUAUAUAUAUAUAUAUGUAUAUUUAAAAAAACUCAACACAACACAAUUCAGACACUUGCAAAAAAAAGUCUCAUGUGGUGUAGUACCAUUUGGGUUGCUUACAACUCAUUCCUUGUACAGGAUUGGCGGUGGGCAAGUUUCCAAUGCCUUAACUCCUAAACUUUUGUAGAAAUAGCAUUGUUCACACUCACUCACUCACUAUUCUGUAUGCUCACACCAUUGGCAAAUUGGCACUUGCUACUUCAGCAUGGAUUGCGCCCCAUGAAACCCAUAAUACCAAUAAUAAAAAUAAGUGAGAGCAAAGGGGAGGAGUGGAAACCUCCACACUGCCUCCUUCUCAUAGUGCCUGCAGUAUAUAUAUAUAUAUAUAUAUAUAUGUGUGUGUGUGUGUGUGUGUGUGUAUGUGUGUGUAAUGCUUUACUGUCAUGAGCUGCAACAUUACCACAAUAUAAGUAAUGUGGGCAAGCUUAUCAGAUGGUCCCCAUAUUGAGAUGGUGUUUUGUUGAAUAGUGACAUAUAGAUUUAUCUGGAGGAGGAGGAAAAUAUAUUGAUAUUCUGUUUCAUUUUUUAAUGUUUUAUUGUGGGUUUUUUUUUGUUGGUUUAUGUAUGAUUUUACAUGUGUGAUUUUCUUAUUUGUGUUGGUGUUCUUUCUCUCCUCUUUUUUUUUUUUUUUUUUUUUUUUUUUUGUGUGUUAACCCUUCAAGUUCUGUUGUCUUGUAUUCUUAGAACAUUUUUUAAAAAUUUAACUUUUUCAGGUUUUAUGUCAAUGUACUAAAUUUUGUGUUUAUAAAUGAUGUUGUGUCUGUUUAAAUUCAUGAUUAUGCUGUGUGAUCAUUUCUUUGACGAUUGAAUUCUUAAACACAUAAGGAAAAAAAAUUAAAGCAUGUGAAAUCAAAGAUAUUUAUUUCCUCUUUAUUGAUUCAUUUACAAAUAAAAAGCAUUUCAAGUGAUAGUUACCACAAUAUGUCUUAGAUACCAAGAGUUGCAUACCAAACUGCAAUUGUUCCAUUCAAUAUGUAGAAAUUAGAGUUGCAAACUUUGUUUUACUCCAUGAAAUAAAAAAUUAUAAAUUACAUUCUACAUAAUAUGUGUUACUUGUUAAAAAUACUUUAAAUAACACGAAUUGGAAAUUGACACGCUAUCUGAGUUCAGUUGUCAUCUAUUUAGAUGUAUGUAUCAUAUCUAAAUAAAUUAUCAAAAAACAAAUUGCAUUUAUAUCAAAUUAUUUAUGACAAUAAAAUUUCUAAUGAAUACUUAAUUUACUUAGUAAAUAAAACUAAAUUCCCCCUAAUAAGACUAUAUUCAAUGUUAGUAAACUUGUGAUCUACUUAAACUUCAUCUGAAUGGAGAAACAAUUAUCCUAAAAAUGUAAAAGGUAUUGGAAACAGCAUUGUAUGGUCUUUUAAAAAAGAACUGUGCCUUACAACUUAACAACCAUUUUUAAUUGAUUGUGCAUGUUAUAGAUUUUAGGAAAAUGUGAUAAAGGGAGAAUUGUUACUUUUUUUGCUCCAAAAAUUCUGUGAAAAGAUAGUUAUAAGGUUAAAUGUCAAAUAUAUUUCAAUUUCAAUACAGAUAUUUUUUGUAUAAUUAUAAGCUAGUUGUGUGAUUCAUGGCUUGAUUAGCAAUGGCUAGUACCACAAGUGAGAUAUUUUGAAUUUACUUCUGCACUAUCAUACAGAGCAUAAAAUUUAUGGUAAACAAUUCUGGGGGUCAGUAUAUAUGAUGCAUGGCAAAGUAGUUACAAUGUUGAGUGUAACUGUAUUAAUAAAUCAAUUGCAUAAAAAAUGAAUAUGUUGUCAUUAUGAAUAAAUUCUAUGAUAUUGAUAUUUUAAAAAUAAAUCCUAUGUUCAAAAUAUAUAUUUUGAACACGCGAUUACACUCUCUAUUUAACUCAAAACAGUUAUUAAUUAAUAUAAAAAAGUACGAUCUUUCAGUGAGUAUUAAAUUAAAGUUGAAAUGGAUGAAGAUAGGGUUUAGGUUUGGAUGAUUUUGGCACAUGUGGGAUUACUUUGAACAUAUUAUUAUUCUUGUAUGUGCGUGUUUAAUGCAUAUGAAUAUAUUAUUUAUGAUUUUAUUACAGUAAAUAUUCUUUUCUGAUUUUAUUCUUAAAUAAAAAUAUUUAGUUACUUUUUCAAGCAUUCAUUUUUUUGUGACAUGUGACUUUAAUUUGAACCUAUUAAUUGAUUUUUCAUAUAUGGAAAAAAGUACACUAAAUUGAUUUUUAUAAGAUAGAAUUGAAUAUUCCUAACAACAAGAAGAUGCAGCAUGUAAAUUUUUAUACUGGUACAAACUCAAUAAGAUCGAUUUUUCAACCUGAACACACAAUAUUAUAUAACAUCUUUUUUUCUCAUGUACUUGUUAAGGAAGAAACAAAAAUAGGUACAGUAAGUUUUCAUAACAUAGAUCAAUUUCAGAACAAAAUACCAGGUAAAAGUUUUAUAAAAUAUUAUGAAUAAUUUAAUCUUAGUGUCGUUUUUCAAAAAAUAGCUCUUUCAUAUAUAUAUAUAUAUAUAUAUAUUCACAUGUAUAUAAAGACACUACCUUUAGAAUUAAUAAAAUUUAGGAGAACCUGGAUUUAAUACAAAACUGCCUGCAAACUUAAAUCUAUGUCCAUGUAUGCACACAAAAAUAAGAAUAAACUUAAUUAAUCAAAUAUGUUUAUUUUGAAGACAUAUUGUAUAUAAAAUUAUUGAUCAAUGAGAGGAGGCUAUGAAUACUUACAAUUGUACAGAAGUUAUUUUGCUUUCAGAAAUAGACAAUUGUUAUUUAUGGACUUAUAAUAAUAAUAGUCGUAUUUUAAUAUUGUUUGUCAUUGGUGAAGAAAACAGUUCAGUAUGAUUAGACUUUGAACAGAUUUAUAAGUGUAAUAUUUCAACCAAAAACUCGCACUAGCUAAGAUCUUUAGAAUAAGUGGUAAAUAAAGGAUUUUCAACACAACCAAGUCUCUAGUUUGAAACUUUAUGUGGAUAAGAGGAUCAUAUUCAUCCCUAAACACUUUUAUCACACAUGUGCUUCAUUGUUUGUUUUGAAAAUAAACACAUCUCCACUUGACUCAUCGUCAUUCUUAGGAUACCUUUAUCACCUUUAAUUUACCAAAAUAAGCAAACACAUUAAAAACAAAAAUUCAAAUGUGCCCAAAUUAAAAGUGUGAAUGAACGCCUCAUUGCAAAUGUUCAUCCUCCUUGAUUCCUAGUUUGGAAUGGUUUCUUCCUAUCUAUUGGGUUACUAGAUAAGCAAAAUCGUGUCUACGAAUAUUCGAUUGAGGAGGAUCUAUUUCGUGGGCAGGCAGAAAUUACCUCUUCGACUUCGAAACCCUAAAACAUUGAUUGGGGUCGAUUCCAGUCACGAUCUAUUUUGAUUUAAAUCCAAGCGCAAACAUCGAGAUGGAGCGUUCCGCUGCCGGUUGAUUGGACGAAUUAUGAGGUGUCACAAACAGUCUUUACCAAAUCUCUUCCCAGAUCCUGCUGCAGAAGCUCCAAAUUCUGUUGCAACCUAUAACCUUACAUCGAAAAAGCUCCAUUAUGAUCACAGUGACCUGCCCUCUUGCGCGCAUUCUCCGUCCCUGCGGUGCCCGUUGCUGACAAAACUUCCGUGGAGAACAUGCGGCGCGUUCAUUUGAAGAGGCAAAAUUGAGGCCGACACCUGAAUUGAUGAUGGGCCGCUGAAGAUGUCGGUGUCGAAGCCGAUCGGGUCUAGGCACUUCGCAAAUUGCUCGCCAUGCUUUGCCGCGACCCCGAUCGUAAUAGCAUGUGCACACCCGUACGUCUGUGAGAACUUUGGAAUUUGUUGGGUCUGGAGGAUUCGAAUUCGGCUGUAAGUGGAUGCAUUCUCUCGGCCUGGUUGGAAGCCUCAGCUGCCGCUUGCUCUUCAAUUGCCUUCGCAACAGAGAGAUGAAGGUGAAUACUCUUAUCAAUCAGCCAAUUCUGCCUCCACACACUCUGAAAUCACUAGUGCUGCACCAGCUUGACAUGAGACAGCAAGUGGACACGCAUUUCCAAGGCAUCGAAAUACGAAACCUAUCAACAUUUUAAAGGAGCUCAAAACAGGUGCUCUACUGACGAUCAUUUCCUCUCACGAUCGUGAGAGGCAGGAUGAUGGCAACCACUACAGGGGAGUUGCCAUGUAAAGGGCUCCAACGCUGUUAAUCCAAUGACAGGGGCUUUUUUCGUUGAGGGCACAUCAAGACGUGGAGACGAGCUCCUCGCAAAGAGCUGCGACGCAUAUUUGCUGCUCCGCCAUAAAUGCAUUGUCGUUCCGGAGCACGGAACUAGAUUUCGACGCCAGAUAUAGACGUGAAUCGAAGCUUGCAGGGAUGCUUUCGAAGCUGAGACAGCAGCAGGGAUUGCGUGUCCAUUGCCCAGCCGCACAACGUGCGUCGCUCAUCGUGGCCAUGACUCCCUCCGCUGUGAGGAUGUGAAGCUCAAGUCUUCUGCGAGUUGGAGACGACAAGCUUCACCAUGUCCACGAUGAGGGGUUAGGGCUUUAGGGUUUCGAGUUUUUAGGUUUUGGUUUAGAAGUAUGUUGUUCUUGAGUGGUGGAUGAUUGUUUAUGGAUUUGAAUGCAUGUUUUCUUUGCUUUGUUUCUUGUUUUAUUGGAUAAGAAUAGGAUACACUUGUUGCAUUCAUUUAAUGUUUUAGAGUUUUCUUCAGAAUUUUGGAUUUUCUUAUGAAUUCUUUAGUCACUUACAAGAAAAAUGAUCUCAUUAAGUUUUUGGUUGGUAGAUUAGCAAUACCCACGUUAUCCAAAUUUUGACACCAACAAUAGUCUUGAGUUUUACAAUGACAAAUCAAAGAAGUGGUUAAGAGAAAGAUUUGUUGUAUUUAUAAAUAAAAUGAGUGUAAAACCAAGUUAUUUACAAAAAAAUUAUGAAAUGCGUUUUAAUUUUUUUGAAAAACUUAAAUCACAACAAGUAAUUUCUAAUCUUUUUGUAUGUUAUGCAAUUUGAUAUCCUAAACAUUUCAGAUGAAUCAAUUUAUGCAAGUACCAAAUUGCAGUUUUAAAUUUUUUUUUUUAUUGAUUAUCUUCUAAAUAAUAAAGUAAAAUAUUGUUGGAUAUACUAUAUUAUUAAAUGUAUUUUUAAUUAAUUAAAUUUAUUAUUAUUGUAAUGUACUCAUACUCAAACAACUUUAAAAUUUUCAAUGAUAAGAAUAUUAUAGAUAAAAGUAAUACACAAGGUAAACAAGAAAAAAUUAGAUAAAUAAUAAAUAAAAAUAUAAUAGACAUAAAUAAUAAAAAAUUAACAAAAGAAUUUUAUAUAGAUGUUUUUGUAAGAAAGAAAAAGAAUAUUAUAGAUAAACUUGUAUAAGUACUUAAGAGUAGAUGUACACUCUUAAUACAAAACUUUAAUUCGAUUUUAGAUAGAAUCAUUAACAAUAUAUGAAAUAUUAUUGUUUCCAUCUAUUAUAAAAAUUUUUUUUACACAUAUUAAAUAGUGCAACAAAUUUAUCAAAUAGAGGAAAGAUUAUACAUAAAUUCAUAGUUAAAAUUGUUACAUAUCAAAAAUAUAUAAAGCCAUAUAUUCAAAUCUUAGAAGAAAAUAAAAAAAUAGAAAAAUAAAUAAAUUAAUAAUAUCAUAUAUAAUAUUAUAAAUCAUAUUUUAUAAUAUAAUAUAAUAUAUUACAUUUUUAUAUAAAUAUAGUAUAAAUAAAUUAAUUUCUAUGUUUAUUCUAAUCCAAAUAGAAUAACAAUUUGUAAAUUAAAAAGUUUUUAAACACAUGUACAUAUUUUUACUUUUUCUAACUUAGAAUAUAAGAAAGACCCAAUUUUUAGUAGUUAACGUGAUUCCAAGGAUAAAUGCAACAUGGCCGAACUUUUCUCUUAUUAUUAUUUCAAUAAUUUUAUUAGUGAAAUAUUUGACAAUUAGAUGAAUUUUGUUUUAAAGACCACUGGCAUAGUCAAGAAUACACAUAAUCAUUACAAGUGUGCAAACCUUUAGCAUGAACUUAUGUAGUAGCAAUAUACUUACCUCUAGCAUGCUCACAUAAUUUAUUAGAACCAUCUCAAUGCCAUUAAGAUUGUUAAUCUUGUCUAUGCCCAAAACAUCUUAACUUUCUUAUGGUAUUACUUAUAAUAUUCUUUUAUUUAUCAUUACAACUUCAUUGUUGUAAAUGGCUAAAAUAUCACAUUUGCUUAAUAAUUCCUUAUCUCCUAGGUGAAUCCAUAUACUAAAGAUAUUUUAUUGGUAAAAGAACAUGCUGGGUGGACAAUGAUUAUAGUCCCCUUUAAUAGCAACAUUUAUUUAUUUAUUUUUAUUUAUUUUUAUUUUUUGUUUUUUUUUGUUUUUUUUACUAAGAAUAAAAAACCAAUUAAUAAGCAUUAUAGUCCUUAGUCUAGCGUGAGUAAUAUGUGCUUUGGCUACAAACAUAUUUUUUUCACAAAUAAAGAAUAUAAAUAUACUUUUAAAGCCAUGAUUCUUUUUAUUAAAGAUGACGUAAUCUUUGGCCUAAUUUCUCUUAGAAUCAUUGAGGCAAUUUGUUUGAAACCAUCCAAUAUUAUAAAAACUAAACCUCUAAAUGACUCAUCUUUUUUGAUUAUAUUCCAAAAACUUUGUCUAUUCCUUCAAAUGCUAUCUUGUUCAUAAUUAGAAAUUAAUUUUAAAGAAUCAAUCUUCUUUUUCAUAAAAGAUCCAUUCGAUGUGACUCUCACCAAAUAUUGCAAACAAAUGUGUUUGUUAUCACAUCUUUUUACGAAAAUAAAACAUCAAUUCUUAGAGAUGCAAGAACUAGGAAAAUUUCAUUAUUUGCAUGGACAAUUUUUUAUAAAAUAUCUUCAAAGUAAGUUCUUUUACUUUCUUUAAGGUCAAUAACAAAAAAAAAAUCUUGAAUUUUUUUAUAGUACAUGCUUCAAUUAUUACUUGAUAAGCAUUAUACUCAUUAUUAUUUAGAGAUUAGACCUCUUCUUUAACGUCUUUAUGCAAUUGAACUAUGUUGUUGUUAAGUUAUUCUUGAAUAAGCCUAUUGAUUUGCAAUAAUUCAAGAGAAAUUGAAACAAAAUUAGGUUAAAUUUUUUCAACAUUUUGUCAAAUCUUUCUAAUUCUUUGAUCAAAAGUAACAAUAAAAGACCUUUAAUUUACUCUUCAAUUGAAUUUUCAAUCCCAUGUUAAUGUAGUAUAUGUCCACAAUAAUUUAAAAGGCUUCUUAUAUAAAGGCAAUAAAGUUUACAAGAAUCCAUCUAUAAUUUAUGUAUCAAAAUUGAAAUAAAGGAGAAUAAAGUUGUGUUGCUAUUUACAUUUUUGCAACUUUAGUAUAACAUUGGUCCUACUCAUCAUCUGUGUCAUGUAAGCUAAGAGCUACACAUACAACCUUAAAUGUUUCAUAGACAUGACCAUCAAACAUUUAAAGUUCUUCAAAUAAUAUGGCUCCCAUGACUACUAUAAAGAAUAUUUAGAAGAAUAUUAUUUAUCGACUAAAAAAGUGAUAAAGUAUUAGUAACAAAACAUAGCACACAUUGAAAAUUCUUUUACGCCUAGUGCAAAUAAUCCUAUAUAAACUGCAUCAAAAAACUCCAUAGAGUACUUUUUGGGCUUCUUGAAUUAUUUUAUUUCCCUCAAAGUACUCAUUCAUUGUUUUUUUCUUAACUUCUUGAAAUUUAUAGAAACAUAUAAGCACCAUACAAAUUAAUUGAAUAUUUUGAGUCAAUACAAAUGGAUUAAGUGUAUUUUUGAAUUCAUGCAUUUUAAUAUCAUUUAAGUUAUAUUGCUUUAAAUACAAAGACAUAUCAAAUAUCAAAAUAUUUUAUAAUUUUGUCAAAAUUCUUGAGAAUAAUAGUAGUAUAGUUGCAAUUCUUUCAAAUAUAUUUAAACAAAUACUUCACAAGAAGAAUAUAAGAAUAAAUUUAUAUUAAAAAAGACAAAAAAAUGAAUAAAUAAAUAAAAAAAUAGAUCUAAAUUAUUUAAUAUUUUAUUAAAAACUUUCUCGUAAAAAAAUGGAAAAAUAAAUUUUCUUCCUCAAUCCUAUUACAUGAAAGUUGUAGACAUUUAAAGCAUUUUGAAGUUUGUAAUAAAGAUCGCUUCAUAUAUCCACCAUAAAUUAUUGGAAGAAGUAGCCAACUUAAAGAACCAAUGUUUCAUAUGCAUAAAUCUAAAGUAUGUAAUUGUAGAAUUGUAGUUGAGUUAAUUGCUUAGAAGUGCCUUCACUUGCUACAUCAUCUUAGUUCUUAGCUAUAAAUAUGCUUCAAUUCAUUUGAGAUUCGUUUGAAGGUAUUUCUAGAUUUCAUUUGCCUUGCGUCUUAAAGAAUAAAACAUAUAAUAAAGAAGUAAAUAAGGUAGGUGCAACAUAAAAAUAUUAUAGAGAUCUCCAUCAAUACUUUUGAUAAUAAUAUCUAAUUUUUUGCAACUUUUUUAAUUACCAUCUUCUACUAUAAUUAUAUAAAUUUUAUUUAUAAUUGAUACAUUAUAUAGCAAAGCAUUGUCAUGUUCUAAUAUAACUAUUGGAUAAAAGAGAUGAAAGUAUUAUAUUAUAGAAGAUUAUAUUUCAAACUAUAAUAAAAAUUAAUUUAAAAAUAUAGAUAAUAAUUAAGGAGGUAGUAAAAUUAAUAAGUGAUAAUGUUUCUUUUUAAGAAAAAAAAUGCUUUUACUUACUUUGUAGUGCCAUAAAUAAGAAAAAGUAAAAUUGAUUAGCAAAAUCAAUAUUAUGGCAUCUUGAACUAAAAUUAAAUAAUAGCUUUUAGCAUAAAUUAUCUUUAAAAAUUAGAUAUUAUUUCUUAAAAAAAUUAAUUAUAAAUAUAGAUUGAAAUGAGAUCCAAAUGUACAAAACCUCGCACCUAUGGCAAUUGUAAAGAUUUUUUGUUUAUUAAAGAGUAGAAAUUGAGAGUAGAAUAAAAUUAUUUUUUUUAGUAUUAUUUUUGGAUAAUUUAGGUUUGUAAUGAAUUCAUAAAGACUUUGCAAAGUGAGGAUUAUUUAAGAAUGAAUUUACUAUUGAAAAAUACAAAAAAAAUUAUAUCUUAGAUAAUUUUGUAAAAUUUAUAAUAAAUCUAUAAAACAUAAUUUGUAGAUUUGUAAAUAUAAUUGUAUUAAGUAUAUAAUCAAAAUUUGAGCUUUAUUAUAAUGUAAACUUAAAUAUAAUUGAAAUCCAAGUGGAAUGGCAUUUAUUAUCAUUUUGAGGUACAAAUACAAUAUUGUCAUUUUGCCAAAGAAUUAGGAGACAAAUACUAAGCUUCUAUGUAGAUCCAUUUAAGUUCUAAUCAACAUCACUCAAAAAUUGCACAUGCAGAUUAUAAGUAUGUAACAUAUUUUGUAAAGCAUCCGUCAUUUUACAUACUAAGUUAGCAAAGUUUUGAUAAUUAAGUGGAAUAUUUUAAUAACUAAGUUUUGUGUUAUUGUGUUGUUGUUCGGCUACCAUAUAAAAAUAAUGUAUUUAUAUACUUAAUAUACAAUAUACUAAAUAACAUAGUGAGAGCCAUGUUAGUAGAUUUUUGUAGAUAUAGGAUGUAGAUAAAUAAGUUUAGGUUUUUGGCUCUGAUUUUGGUGCAAAUUUUGUGUGAUUUGGAGUUUAUAUGAAAGAGAUAUGAGCACUUAAAGUUAAGGUGUUGAUUAUGUACCUACUGUCACUCUUUUAGAUAUAACGCAUGCGUACAUAAAACAAUAAAAGAUUGGCAACUACAGUUGAAGAGAGAAUUUUUUUGGCUAUACUUUUGGCAUAUUAUUUGAUGGAUUCCAAGUUGAAAUGAAGGAGAUAUUGGAAGUUGAAGUCAAUGCUUUAAAUCUAAGGGUAGUAAGUGAUUUGAUUUACUAGUGGUUAUAUUUUGAGCUAAAUCUUGAGCAAUUUGACAAUAUUUUAGCUCAAAAUUUUCUAGAUUAUGUGUAAUCAUGUUAAUAAACUUUAUGCAUAAAUUUUUUGGCAUUUGAAUUUUAGAUUUUUGAGAUAUGAGGAAAAUAGUUUUCUGGUGCUUGUAGAUUAAGAUUUAGAGUACUUACUAGGAUUUCUAAGAUGCCAAAAGAUUGAUAAUAGAUUUAAAAUUCAUUUUUUUAAUGGUAAAGUUCAAGGAUAGAAUCUAUAUUAUACAAGAAUUUGAGAAAAAUUGGAUAGUUGGAUCAAGAGAUAUGAAUUUCUAAAAUUCAAGGUAAAAAUAUCUUUUAUGGGAAGAAAAUAUUUUGAAUGGUUUUAUUAUAAUUUGAACAUUUUUGCAAAAUAAAGGAGUUUUUGGGAGAUAAGGCAUCAUAUAUUAGCCAAAGAUAAACUCUUUAUAGCCAAAUAUCUAGUAUAUUCUCAGAUUACAAAUCACAUCAUAUGACAACAUAUUUUUAUAGAUUCUAAUAAUAUUAAUUAAGUAGUUAUUAUUUUCUUAUUGUUCAUCUUAACUUAAAAAUUGAGAAUAUAUAAUAUAAAAACUUAACAUCCUAAGUCACUUCUAAAAAAACCUACCAAAUUCCUAAUAAAUCCUAAUAAAUUCUAAUAAAAUCUUGAUCAAAUCCUAAUCAAUCUUAAUUAAAUUUUAUAGUAUUUUUUAAACCUUAUUAAUUAUUAAUUAAAUAUCUGAUAUCGCUUUAAAAUUUUCAAACAUUUUAAUAUUCUAAUAAUCAAUAAGAACACAAAAUUAUUAUAAAAUUUAAUACAUAGAUUGAAAUAAAAAAAUUCCUAAUCCAUUUGGAUGUCAGCUAUCAUCUUUUUCUAAACUCCAUGUCAAUCUAUCAAUAAGAAUAGUUGUCAAAAAAAAAUUCAAAGAAUACAAAAAAUAAGCUAGCUAAAUUUCAAAAAAAUAUGUGGGACUUUUUUCAAAGAAAUAUGACAAAAUAAAAAUAAGAAACUAUGUAUAUUCAAAAGAAACUAGAAUGGCUAUUACCAAAAGACAAGAAAACUAGAGAUCUUUGAAAUUAGACUAGAAGCAAGAAAAGAAUUAACAAGAAUAAGAAAGGCUUUACUUUUGUCUCCAUAUAUACUAUCUAACUAAGAAAUAUUUGUCAAUAUUCUAUAUGACCUCCAAUACAUGUUUAAUUUUUUAGACACCUUCCUUCACUUAUAAGACAAGUUUUUUGUAUAUGGGCUAUAUGAUUAGCUUGUACAAUAAGCUAUCAACAUUUAUAAUAUAUAGCUAGCUCAUUGAUUAAGUAUUCAACCUAUCACCUUUAAAUACAUAUAAAGGUGAAACUCCAUCUAUGAAGUUUUUAAGAAGCUUUUUUAUAAGAUAUUAUCAAAUUAUUCUAUUUUUAUUUAUUUUUAGCUAUUCAUAUUAUUUAAAUAAUUAUAAGAAUAUAUAUAUAUAUAUAUAUAUAUAUAUAUAUAUAAUUGUGAUAUUUUCUUCAUUUCUAAAGACGAGUUUUAUUAGAAAUGGACAUUACAUAUUGAUAAAGUCCAAAAUAUAAUAAAUUAUAUUUGUCACAUACUCUAAUCUAUAUUUCCUUUGAAGGUAGUUGUUAGGUCUUUUAGCUAUUAAUAAUAACUUACUUUUGAGUAGAAAGACCACUAUGAUAUUUAAUCUUUGUUAAAGCCUGUGUAAUUUUUUUAAAAAAAAAUAUUUGUAACAAUAUUAAGAUUUAGUCCUACUUCAAAUAUAAUUAUCAAACAUUGGAAGUCUCUUUCUAGAUUGUGAUAUCAAAUGCAUUGUAUCUUGCCAUGUAUAUAGAAAAAAUAUAUUCUUCUUAAAGAUUUUUUUUUUUUUUUUUUUUUUUUUUUUUUUUUUAAUAAUAUGCCAACUUAAAGGUUGUGACAAUUGUAAUGUCUUGUCUANNNNNNNNNNNNNNNNNNNNNNNNNNNNNNNNNNNNNNNNNNNNNNNNNNNNNNNNNNNNNNNNNNNNNNNNNNNNNNNNNNNNNNNNNNNNNNNNNNNNAAAAAAUUGAAUGCAAUCUUCAUUGAUCAUCAUUUUUUUUAUAGCAAAGAUUAGUUAACUUUUCAUCUUAAUUUUGAAGAAUGUUGUUGAUAAAAAUCUUUGACCUUUUCUAUUACAUUUGUAAGUAUCUUUGGUAGAUCCCAUGUACAUUCAUUAAUAACAUAUUUGUACCAAUAAAUAAAAUAUUUAAACUUAAGUAAGCAUUAUUUUGACUCUGAGACUUCUUCUACCUCAAAUUCUUGAUUAUUAUCUAGUUAUAUAGGAGACACAAGGAUUUUUCUUCUCUUUAAAAUAUUCACUCUCUUACAUGGAUGUCAAUAAUAUGAAUCUUAAAAAAUUAAAAGUUCAAAAUAUUCUUCUGUCACUCAAAAAGGCUAAAUAAUCACUUAAAGAUAAUAUAAUAUUAAAUUAAAAUAGCUAUUAUCAAAGAUAAGAAAACUAAAAAUUCUUGAAAUAAGACUAAAGACUAUAUAAGUGUUGGAAAUAGUGAAGAAGGCUUCACUCUUGUCUCUAUAUAUACUCUUUAAUUAGAAGCUAUGUGGCAAUAUUCUAUAGGACCUCCAAGACAUGGUGACUUUUGUAUUAUACAUGUCUUAACUUGUAAGAAAAAUUAUCUAUAUAUGUGCCACAUAAUUAGCUUAUUCUAUAAACUAUUAAUACAUAUAAGACAUAGCUAACUUAUUGACUAAAUUUUUAGCCUAUCAAUCAGCUAGAAAUAUAUGUAAAAUAAAAAUAAUGUUGUCGUAAUACAUAAAGUCUUGCUUGAGAAUGCUUUGAACACCUGGUGGUGGAAGGUAGAAUGGAAAUUGUAAUAACAAAAUCCUAACUCUAAUAUAAUACUAACUAAAUUCUAAUUAAACUAUAACAAUGCUAAGCAAGCUUUAAUCAAAUUCAAAGAAACCUCAAAAGAAUUACAAAGAAACAAUAAGAAAUUUAAAAAAAAUAUUAAAAUGAUUACAAAUAUAUCUCAAAUACAUCUUAAUUCAAUCUUAAUUUAAUCCUAGUUAAAAUCCUAUUGGACUUCAUUCAAACUUUAGGCCAAAAACUAACUAAAUCUUAAAUCCUAAACAAACUCAAAUAAAACCCUAAAUCCUAAAUCAAAUCCUAAAUCCUAGCCAAAUCCUAAAUCCUAAAUCCUAAAUCAAAUCUUAACCAAUUAAAAAUCAAAUUCUAACCAAAUCCUAACCCUAAAUCAAAUCCUAAUCAAAUCCUAAUCCUAAAUCAAAUCCUAAUCCUAAAUCAAACCAUAAUCAAAUCCUAAAUCAAACCUUAGUAAUUUCUGCAACAGAUUUAUAUCUCAGUUACUAAUGAAUAAAUUAUUGAUCUUAAUUCAAAAUUUGCAUGCUUUUUAAUAAUUAAGUUUAAAAUAAGCACAAAAAAAUUUGAAAAGUAUUGGAAUUAUCAUAUAGACGAUAGCCUCAAAAACAUGCUUGGAUAUUGGCCGACCUGAGCUAAUAUCUCUUUUUUCGACAUCUUUUUUUCCUGAGCUAAUAUCUCUUUUUUCAUCGUUUGAUUGAUCUCAAAAUUUUUAAAUACAUAGAAAAAUAAGUCUAAUAUCCUCUUACAUAAAUUUCACUCCAAUCCAACUAAUAAAUUGCAAAAAAUCUUUAAAACCCUCACUAAACCUAAAAUUCUACUUUUUGAGACCUUGACCCACUUAAACCUCAAUAAUCCUCAAUUCAAUUAUUAGAUCGAGCUAAGAUUCACAAUACAUAUUAAGCACAAUUACAAACAUUAAUUCACAAAAUUUCACUUAUAGAUCUAUUACAAAACUCUUGAAAUCAUUAGAAAUGUCAAUCCUAUUAUAUUUCACAAAAUCUAAGUCAUCCAAAAACAAUCUUGAUUUGUAAAGCUCUUACAAAGUCAUAACAACUUCAAAUUUCCCAAAACUAAUGCUUAUAGAAACCUUAUUCAACUUUCUCUCAAAUUCCACUCUCUGAUUUGCAAAAGAACCCAAGAGUCAUUGUUGAGACUCAGUUUUGUGCCUCAGCCUCUAAUUUCGACCUUGGUUCAUAACCGGUACUUUCUGGGUAUCAAUAUCUAGUUUUUCUAAAUAAAUUUUACUAUAAUUUAUUCUUAACUUCCUUUUAAAGAUACCUAUAUUAUUUAUUUUUCUAAUCUACUUUGUUUUGCCUUAUUUAUGGUCUUACAAAGUAAGUAGAAGUCACCUUUCUAAAAUGGCAGCAUGGGUAUCUUUGAGGUUUAUUAUCCUUUUGACUAUUAACUAUAUUUCUAAGAUAAUUGGCUCUAAUACUUUAUACUAAGAUAUCCUACAUUAUAAUAAUUUCUACACUCUUUCACUUAUUAAUCGUGUUACAUCAUGACAGCAUCUAUAAAGCUUCUAAGAAGCUUUUUUAGAAGAUAUUAUAAAAAUAAUAUAGUUUUAUUUACUUCUACUUAAUCAUAUACGUAAUUAUUGAAAUAAAUAUAUAUUUUUGUAAUAUUAUUCUUCAUAUUAGAGACAAUUAUCACAAAAAAAAAAAUUCAUCUAACAUCAAUCUUACAAUUCUUUAUCUUAGUUUUAAUGGAUGUCAUCAAUGAAAAGCCUCAACUUUCUUUGCUACAUUUGUAAGAUUCUUUACUGGCUUCUAUGUGCAUUUGUUAAUUUCACAUCCAUACUAAUGAAUAAGUUAUUUCAACCUAUUUUGGCGAUGUCUUGAAUUUAUGACUUCUUCUAUCUUAAACUCUUAAUUAUUAUCUACUUCUAUAAGAAGAAGUGGCAAUUGUCUUCACCCUGAGAUAUUCACUAUCUUAUAUGGCUCAAGAAGAGACAUAUGGAAUUUAAGAUGGAUUUUCAUAGAUUUUGGUGGAUAUAAUUAAUAAGCAAUAAGAUUUACUUGAUUAUAAAUAAAUAAAAAAGAUCCAAACUUAUAAUAUUUGAAUUUGUCACAAAUAUGAAUAGUCUUGAUAUUGCGAUGAAGUGAUUAUACCUUGUCACCUAUUUUGAAUUGCGGUUAUUUAUUGCAAUAGGCAUCUGCAUUGAUCUUUUAUAGUUCUUGAAUUUCUUUUAAUUGUAACUUUAUUGUUGUAUGUAACUUUGAUCAAUGAUUUGCCAAAUCUUCUACUAUAAGAUUAUCAUCUUUUGAAAAGUCAAAAUUAUGAAGUUGUAGAUGAUAACCAUAAUCGGAAAAAAAAGAUGUUUAUUGAAUAGAAGAAUGUAUCAAAUUUUUAUAUACAAACUAUACCAAUGGCAAAAAAAUUAUCCAAUCAUCUAAAUGAUAGUUGAUAAUACACCUCUAAUACUGCUUCAGAACUUGAUUCACCUAUUUCAUUUGCUUAUCAAUUUAAGGAUGAAAGGCCAAAGAUAAUUUUAUAUCCACCUUCAAUAUUUUAAAGAUUUUUUUAAAAAUAUUAAUAUAAAUUAUAUCUCUCUAUUUCAUAUAAUAUUUUUUGACAAUUCAUGAUAGUAUUAGAUAUUAUGAAGAAAAAGCUUAGCUAUUUCUUCAUCUAAAAUAAAUUUUGUAUAUGAUGCAAAAUAUGUUAUUUUGGAAAAAUAAUCUAUGAUCACAAAUAGAGAUGUAUGAACUUUAAUUUGAAAGAUCCAUAAUAAAAUUUAUAAAAAAAGAGACCAUGAUAAUUUUGAUAUAGACAAUAGUUGGCAAAAUUCAUAGGAUCAAUGAUGAGAAGUUUAUGACCUUGAAUAAAUGUCACAUAAAUAUACAAAUUCUUUCACUACCUUUCACAUUUACAGCCACCAAAAAUGUCUUGAUAUUAGCUCCUAAGUCUUGUAUCCAAAAUGCCUUGUUAAUAGAAAGUUGUGAUAUACUUGAAGAAUAUGUAUAUAUAUAUAUAUAUAUAUAUAUAUAUAUAUUUUUGGAAUAUAUAAGUAACCUUUGCAUUAGACUAGAUUAUUUAUAAACUUAAACUAAGAAGUAUCUUGAGACUUAGAAGAAAUAUUCUUGAUGUCAUGAUUAAAAGAAUUAAAGGAAAUUCUUGAUUGAAUUUGCUUGACAAAAAUUGAAUCAAUAGUCAAUGUUGAUUUUAUUGUUUAAAGAUAAAAUUACUUAGGCUUCAUGAAGAUUGAUCUUUAUUGAUCAAAAGUUGUAUUUUUUUUUUUUUUUGAAGUAAGAUAAAAACGUCUAAAAAGUACAUUUGAUAAACCUUAUUUUUUUUUAAUUCAAUACAUGAUAUCAAAAUCAAAUCUUAACAAUGACAUAUUCUAAUAAGCAUGGUGACAAUUGAACACGUCCAUUGAUAUGAAGUACUCAAGGUUCUUAUGAACUAUAUAUACCAUGUUAGUAUUGAAAAUAUCUUCUAGAUAAUGAUGCCAUUCUUAAAAAGAAUCCAUAAUUAUAAAAAUUUAAUUAUUGUAAAUUUCAUAAUUGAUCUCUAUUGUUGAAAAUUUCUUAGAAUAAAAAGCUAUUAGAUGGAGUUUAUUAUUUACUUCUAUUUUUUAAAAAAUAACAUCCAUAGCAAAAUUUAAUGCAUCUGUUUCUAUAAAAAAUGCCUAAAAAAAAUCAAUACAAUAUAAGAUUGGUGCAAAAAUAAAUGAUGUCUUCAAAGCUUCAAAAGAUUCUUCAAUAUCUUUGCUUCACUUAAGUUUGUCUUUAUAUAUUAGAUGUGUAAGAGGAGCCACAACUUCAAAAAAAAUCUUCAUGAAGAUACGAUAAUAAUUGACAAAUUCUAGAAAAAACAUUGUACAUCUGAUUGUUUUUGAAAUCUUUUAAUCUAUGAUAAUUUAAACUUUCUUAGAAUCCAUCAUAAAACCAUCGUUUGAAAUGAUAUAUCAUAAGAAAUCAACUUGAAUAGAAUGAAAUACAUACUUAUCAAUUUUGACAUAUAAUCUUAUAUCUCUUAAUUUUUAUAACACAAGUCAAAUAUGAACUUCAUGUUCUUUUAUAUUUUUAGAAUAAAUUAAGAUAUUUUCUAAAUGAUAGAUGGAAAAAUUAUCAAGAAACUCAAAAAAGAUAUUAUUCAUUAGAUGUUGAAAAGUAGCUAAUGUAUUUGUGAGUCUAGAAGGCAUAACAUUAUAUUCAAAAUGCUCAUACUUGGUUUCAUAUGCAAUUUUUCAUUCAUCUCUUUUUUUUAAUGUGUAUCAAGUUGUAUGCUUUUUUUAGAUCUAUUUUUGUAUAGAUCUUUACUUAAUUCAAGCAAAAAUAGAGGAUAUCUAUUCUUGCUAGUGAUCUUGUUGAAUUUUUGAUAGUCUCCAUACAUCCACAAAAAUCUGGUUCUUUUUUCUUCACAAAUAAGAUAAGAGCUCCAAUUGUAGUUUUAAAAUUGCAUAUGAAGUUCUUAGCCUAAUUUUCAUCAAUAUAUUCUUUGAGUGCAUCCAACUUGUUGAUAGGCUAUAGAUUGGUUUAAAUGGUGGUUGAGCUCUUUCUUAAAAAUUAAUGGAACAUAAUAGGAAUGAUGCUUUAGAAGAAUAUCUAUGUUUUAUUUAUUUAUUUUUUUUUUAAAUUGUCUUGAUAAUCUUGAUAUUGGCUUAGAAUGCUAAUUGAUUUUUUUUUUCCAUCAACAAUAGGUAUAGAGUAUAUAGUAAAAGUUGACCCUUCUUUUACAGCAUGUAAAAAAAUUCUUGCAUCUAUCAAUAAUAAUUUGGAUAUAUUGAUCUUAAAAAAUUUUACUUUCCUCGCAAAAUCUUGGACUAAACUAUAGAAAAAAUUAAGGUUAUUAGAAAUUCAACCUAUUCUAGGAUUAUAUUUUUUUAGCCAUAAUGAUCUUAAAAUAAUUAGAUUAGAGAGAAAUCUAAUCAUAUUAUAUAUUACUAAACUAUUAUGACCACUAGUUGCUACUUCUAAAUUUUAUGUCUAAAAACUCUAGAAGACAACAAACGACCAUCUAUUACUUUUGCAUCUAAAAUUUUGAUAUUCUUAAUUAAAGAUAUAUCUUAUUUUUUGACAAAUUCUUUAUCUAUAAAAUAAAAAGGCUCUUGAAUCUAACAAGGUUAAGACUUUGUGAUUUUUUGGUUUUAAAAAAAUCUUCUACUAUAAAGCAAAGCAAGGAAUUUAAAGAGAGAAAAUUCCAGCCAUAUAAUUCAUAUAUGAUUGCUGGAAAAUUUUAUUUUUCAAUACAUUGACUUCUUUGAUAACCAUGCUCCUCAUUUUGUGAUUAUGUUGUUUUUUUGGACAAUGGUAAGUAGUGUACAUGGAUUCUCUACAACAUAGGCACAAACCUUCUUAAUGACUACAAGGAUUUUCUUGCUUAGUAAGAAGUUUAAAACAUACCAUAUUAAUUUACAUAGGCUUUGGCUUGGACAAGUAAAAUUUUUAAAAUUUAAAAGGUAAUACCAUAGCUUGAGUUAUAUUCUUCCAAUCAUAUCUUUAUUUUUAGCAUCUUUUCAAGAAUUGAUUGUUGCAUGCAAUGGCUUGAGUAAUAAAUUACUUUAAUGAAUUUUUUCUUAAUAUUGUCAAUGUUAAAUCUUUGAUAUUAACUUUCAAGUUAUAUUGAAGUUGAUUGAUAAGGUCUUUCUAUUCCAAUCUAAGUCUCAAGCAAGAUUUUAGAAUUUUGCAACAUGUUUAGUGGUUGAACAUGAUUUUAAUUGUAGAAAUAUAAGCUUAGUCUCUAUUUUUUUCUUAUCAUUUUUUUCCAAAUAUAGCUAUAAAUAAUUUCAAAAAUAAAUUUAAAUUAUAAAAUAAUUGUGAAUCUUUUUCUAUCAAAGGUAUAAACUAAAAAAAAAAAAAAAAAAAAAAAUUAGACAAAAAAAGCUCUUAUGAAUUUGAUUUGAAUAAAUCCAUUAAGAUAUUGAGAAAGAUGAAAAAUUUAAUAGAGCAUCAUUAGUUAUAUAAAUCCUCAAAAUUUUGAUCUUGUUCCAUCAUACUUCUCUAGCAUACUUAUACUUGCCUCUUUUAUACUUGUAGUAGCAAGAUCCCUUGGAUUUAGUUAUAAAUUUGAUCAUCUUGCUUCUUUUAAUUGAACAACUUUUUGGUAUAGACUUUGAAUUUCAUUGCUGAUUUCUUCUAUAGACAUAGGAAUAGUACCUCCAUUAUUUACAUUAGAAAUAUAUAAUAUUUCUAUCCUAAGAGUACUGGUAAGCUUUUAAAGAUUUGCAAUAGUUACAAAUCUAUUCUUAUUUUUUUCAAGAGUAGCAUCCAUAAUUUAUUUUUUUUAUAGAUAAUUCAAAAAAAAUUAUAAAAUUAAAUUUAAAGAAAAUAAUUCACAACAUCUAAUAUCAAAUGAUUUUUUUUAUAAAAAGAAGUAAUCUUCUUUCUUAAAAGAUCAAAUACAUGUUAGAAAAUUAAACUAUUUAUUUAAAGGUGUGUAGUCUAUAACUUUCAAAAUACAACAAUAGAAGUAAGGUGAUCUAUUGACUUUUAAAAUAAAAAAAGAAUAAUAAGUUAGCACUCUUGUCAAAUUAUCAGGGAUAUAAAUCUUAAAAACUUAAAAGAUUAAGAUAUUCUUAUGUAAUUAAAAAUGAUUAGAUAAUUAGUUAAAGAUAAUAUAAUAUAAAAUUAGAAUUGUUAUUGUUAAAGACAAGGAGUUUAGAAAGCCUUGAAACAAAAUUAAGGACUAAAAAAGCAUUGAAAAGAAUGAAGAAGGCUUUACUCUUGCCUUCAUAUAUACUUUCUAAUUAAGAACUAUGUGGCGAUAUUCUAUAGAAUCUCUAAUACAUGUUGACUUUGCUAGACACAUGUUUUAACUUACAAUUUAAGUUAUCCAUAUGUACACCACCUAGUUAGCUUUCUUUACAAGUUACUAAUAUGUGUGAUACAUUUUUGUGGUAGAGAAAAUUUGCUUUAAGAAAGCGCUAGGCUUUUGGCUAUUACUAAAUACUCAAUCAAGCCUCUAGAUAAAAAAAUCACUAAGUCUAUAUAUAAAAUUAUUUCUAUAGGAAAAAUUACAUCAAUACAUAAGCCUUAAGUAUCAAAGAUCACCAAAAAAGUGAUAAAAAUAUUAUAAAAAACUUAUAUAUCCUUAAGAUGAAUUAUUCUCAAAUUUGAACUACUUAUAUCUUAGGAUAGGACUGUCCAAACAAAUCCAAAUUUUAUAUGAAGUACUAAUGUACUUUUAACAACUACCACAACAAAUUUUAACUAUAAAUUUAUUACGAAUCUUAAGAUAUUGCCAAAACUCUAAUAGUAGUUUCAAACCCUUGCUUACAUAUAUCCAUAUGCAAAUUUCUUCAUAUUUUACAAAAUAAGUAUUUAAAUACUAUAAAAUUUUGAUAUAUAGCUUUUUAAUUCAAUAAUACACAAUUCUAGAAAUUUUUAGCUAAAAAUUCAUCUGGAAACCUAAGAUAUGGCUCCAACUAUUACUAUCAACAAAAUGACUCACUUACUGCCUUUGAAUUACAGGUAUUGUCUUCAAUGCUCUAUAACUUUUUCAUACAAAUUCCAAAUGAAAAAAUUCCUUCACAAAAGAAGUAGAUCUUGAAAUAACUCUUAUGAUUGCACCUCCCAAUUUCCAAAAUUUAUCAUAAAACUCCUUGUAUCUUCAAAAUAGUAAUAAUAUAUCUUAAAAAGAUAUCUUAAUUUCAAACAAUUAUAACCUCAUCACCCUAAUUCCAAAUCCUUUAAAAUUUUCACAAAAAUUGUAAUCUAAAUCCUAAAACUUAUAAUCCUUGCUUUUGAUUCUCAAAUGCUCCUUUUGAAGUUACCAAAAUCCUUGUUGUGGUUGUAGACAACUUGCUGAAUGUCCAUAGGAUAUAGCUUUUGACCAAUAGGCAUAAAGAUCUUUACCUUUUGCCUUCAUCCAACCAUGCCUUGAUUUCAUCGCUCUCCAUAAGCCUUGUGGUAGUUUAGAUUUUCAUCCUUAGGCUUCCACCUUCUCUUAAAGCUCUAUACUAAACAUCUAAAUCUUAUAUAAUUUAAAUAUUAUAAUAUAAAUAGCUAAAAUUCAAAAUAAAGUUUUUUAUAUCCACUCUCUUUAAAAUAAUUUAUUAACCAUUCUAACAUACAUCAAGACUUAUGAACAUAAAAUAUAUUUUAACUAAUUUUUAUAUACUAUAAGUAUUUAUAGUAUGACGACGUGGCUAAUUUAUUGACUAAGUUUUUAGCCUAUCAAUUUACUACAAAUACAUGUAAAGUCAAAAUAGUGAAUAUAAAACUUUUAGAAAGCUUUUGUAAAAGAUAUUAUAAAAUCAAUCUACUUUUACUUGCUUCUUUUUAAUUAUAUAGGUAAUUAUUGGAAUAAAUAUAUAUGUUUGUAAUAAUGAUUUAAGAAAAGAUACAUGAAAUAAGGAUGGAUUUUCAUAAACUUUGGUUGAUGUAAUUGAUAAAUAUAAGGAUUAAUAUGUUCAUAUAUAGGAAAUGGUCUUAGUUUAUGAUAAUACAACUUAUUACAAGAAUGAAUAGUCUUAACAUUACAAUAAAGUAACCAUAUCUUAUGGCUAAUGUGAAAUUGAGGUUGUUUCUUGCAAUCAGCACCUCCAUUGAUUUUUUGUCAUUCUUGAGCUUCUUUUAGUUGUGCCUUUAUUGUUAUAUGUAGCUCAAAUAAAUAAUUUUUUAAAAUCAUUCAUUAUAAGAUUAUCAACUUUUAAAAAGUCAAAAGUAUCAAAUUAUAGAUGAUAACCAUAAUUAGGAAAGAAACGUGUUUAUUGAAUAAAAAAAUAUAUUAUGUUAUUAUAAGCAUAUUUUUUUAAUGGAAAAAGAAUUGUUUAAUCACUUUAUUGAUAGUUGAUGGUAUACCUCAAAUAUUACCCAAAACUUAAUUUAUGCACUCUAUUUGUCUAUUAAUUUGAGGAUAGAAAGCCAAAGAUAGUUUUAUAUCUAUCUUUAUAAUUUUAAAAAUAAUACUUCAAAACUUUGAUACAAAUUGUGUCCUUUUAUUUAAUAAAAUAUCUUUGAACAAUCCAUAAUAGCAAUAGAUGUUGUCAAGAAAGAACUUGGUUGUUUCUUCAUCCGUAAUAGAGUUUGUAUAUGGUACAAAAUGUGUCAUCUUGGUGAAAUGAUCCAUUAUCACAAAGAUAGAGUCAUAAGAACUUGAGAUUGGAAGAUCUAUGAUAAAAUCUAUAGAUACAAAAAAUCAUUGUUGUUUUGGAUUAGGUAAUAUUUGAAAAAGUCUAUAAAAUCAAUGACCAAGAGUUUUUGAUUUUGAAAAAAUAUCACAUAAUUAUACAAAUAUUUUGAUUGAUUUUCACAUUUAAAGCCACUACAAAUCUCUAGAUAUUAAUUCUAAAAUCUUGUUGUAUUCAGAUUAUGUUAUUAGUGAGAAUUUGUAAUAAGUUUGAAGAAUAUAUGAUUAAAAUUCAUCUUCUAAAUCAUAUAAGUACAUCUAAAAAUAGAAUAGAUUAUUCUUUAAUUCAAAUUUUAAAGUAACAUAAGAUUUUGAAGAAUUUUCUUUAAUAUCAUGAACAAAAGGAUCAAAAGAUAUACUUUGUGAGUCAUCAAAUUAACUCACUAGUUAUUUUUGAGACAAAAAUAUGCAUGUGGAGGGCCAAAAUUACAAUUUUUAGAUAAAGAUGUACUUAGAGGAUGUUAAAUGAAGAAAAAUAGUAUUAAUACAGAAGAAAUAGAGUCAUAGUAAGUCUUAGAGGCAAUUAUUUUAGCUGAUUUAGGAUUUUUAUUUAUUGCUGAGUAGUGAGGAUUAGUUACUAAGGUCAAUAUUUAUAUUGGUCUUCUAUCUAUACAUAUUACUUAUAAAAAAAAAUAUAAAUAUUAUUUAGUAGUUAAAAAAAUCAUGAAAAAGAAGCUCAUGUCUUUUUAAUUAGUUAUAUAGGAAGGAAGAUUUAUAAUAGAUUUAAAUUGAUUUAAUUACUAUAAAAAUAAUCAAGAUAAGAAAAAAUAGAUUUAAAUUUUUAUUAGUAUUAUAAAACAAUUAUAGGAAUUUUAUAAUUUAUUUAGAAUCUAUUUAGUAUUUUUUAGGAAUUUUUAGAAUAAUUUUGAAGAUUUUGAUAAAAAUAAGUUUUAUCACUUCGGAAGCCAUUAUGAAGAAAUGGAGCAAGAUUUGAAAGCCAUUCAAGAUUCUUGGGCUAAUAGGAUGUUUUUAAAGACCAUGGUGAAGUCGAAAAUGUAAUAAAAAUGAGUUUUAUUAGUAGAAAAUAGGAGGGCCAACAGCUAGUCUAGUCCUUAUAAGAAGGAAAGUAUACAAAUCAUAUAUGGAUUGUAGCACCUUGGGUAUAGGUAGGAAGAUAAAACUAAGGUCUUAAGGCUUCUUUAUAAAACCAAUAUAUACUACUUGUGAGCCUUGGUGAGGCCCAAACUCCUAAUCUCUUAAAGUAAGUUACCCUUGAAGUAAAAUUAUUUACUUAACUUUUCAUUCAUUUACUUGUUAUUUUUCAAAUUUGCAUAACAUACUCAUAAUAACUCGGAUUUAUAUGUUUCUUACACUAUUAGAAAAAAAAAAUUUAAUUUUUUUUAAAAUAUAUUUUUUACUUUUAUUUUUAUUUUUUAUGGGAUAAAAAUUUAAUGAAUAGACUGUGACUGGUUUUGAGGUGUAUAAUUCCUUGAUUGCAUUUAUUCCACUUAUUUUGUAUUUUUCUUCUUUUAUCCUUGUUCCUGCUACUUUUACUUCACACCACCCAUUACAAGCAACUCUUAAUUAAGGUCAUUUUGUAAUUGGAUUACGAAGUGAAUUUUACACUCACAUACUUCACUGAACUUAUUUACAAAAAGUUGAAUUAAUAAUUAGUAUUGAUUAAAUUUCUCAUAUAUAAAAUUACUAUAGUUUCAAGAAAAUAAUUUGUUAUUAGGCAAAAGUUCCAUUGCUCAUUUUGGUGUAAGAUAAGAUCAUUUUGAAAUAGCAUUUGAUAAACCUUGAUAAUUUUUUUAAUUGAUAAGUGAUCUUAAAUUUGAAUCUUUAUAAGAAUAUAUUCUAAUAAGAUUGGCAAAGAAUCAAAACAUGUACUAUCCUAAAAUACUUGAGAUUCUUCUAAUUAAUGUACUUGUUAAGUAGAUUAGAAUCACCUUUUAAAUAAUAAUGCUAUUCUUGAAAUAAAUCGACAAUUGUAAGAAAUUCUUUAUUAUAAAAAUAUAGUUAAUUUCAAAUAUUGAAAAUUUUCUUGAAUAAAAAGCUAUUGAAUGAAAUUUAUCAUUUGCUUCUAUUUAUAAUAAUUUCACAUCCAAAACAAAGUCUUAUGUAUUUUUUUUUAUAAAAAAAUACCUUGAAAAGUUAAUACAAUAUAAGAUUGGUGCAAAAAUAAAUACUAUCUUUAAAGCUUCAAAUAUUAGUUUUACUUCUUUAUUCCAUUCAAAUUUUUGUUUAUAAGUCAAAUAUACAAAUAGAGUUGUAACUUAAAAAAAACUUUUUCAUAAAGAUAUAAUAAUAAUUGGAAAUUUUCAAAAAAACAUCACACAUUAUUUAUUAUUCUUAGAAUGUUGAAAUCCAUAGUAGUCUUAACCUUCUUAAGAUCCAUCAUAAGGCUAUUAUUGAAAAUGAUGUAUCUGAAGAAGUUAACUUAAAUAGUAUGAAAUAAACACUUUUCUAUCUUGAUGUAUAAUCUUGCAUCUCUAAGUUUUUGUAAUACAUGACGAACAAGCAGUUCAUGUUUUUUUAUGCUCUUAAAGUAGAUUAAAAUUUGAUCUAAAUAAUAGAUAACAAAAUCAUCCAAAAACUCUUAAAAGACAUCAUUCAUUAAAUGUUAAAAAUUAGUUGGUACAUUCAUGAGUCCAAAAAGCAUGAUAUUAUAUUCAAAAUGUCUAUAUCUUCUUUAAAAUGCAAUCUUCUAUGUCUCUCCUUCUUUGAUGUGUACCAAAUUAUAUACUCUUCAUAGAUCUAUUUUGAUAUAGACCUUAGCUUGAUUAAAUUGGUAAAGAAAUCUUAAUAUCAAGGAUAAAUGGUAUCAAUUCUUCAUGGUAAACUUAUUAAGCCCUUGAUAUUCUACAUAUAUUUACAAGGAUCUAUCUUUUUUAUUCAUAAAUAAAAUUAGGGCUCUUGUUGAAGAUUUUGAAUGGUGUAUGAAAUUAUUGGCUAGAUUUUCUUCAAGAUAUUCUUUGAAUUCAAUCCACUCAUUUUGUAUUAAAUUGUAGAUUGGUCCAAAUAAUGAUUGAGCUCUCUCCAAAAGAUUAAUUAAACAAUCAUAUGGAUGAUUUUCUAAAAAAUAUCUACAUUCUUCUUUUUAAAAAUAUCUUGAUAAUCUUGAUAUUGACUUAAAAUUUCAUUUGAAGUCUUUCUACCAUUAGAAACAAGAGUGGCAUAAAUAAUAUAACAUGAUCUUUUUUUUGUAGUAUCUAAGAAAGUUCUUACUUUUUAAAUAUGAUUUGGUUAUACUAGAUUUAUGACUUUCUACUUGAUUAAAAAUAGUCUUUGUUAUACUAUUAAAAAAGUCAAGACUACAAAAAUUCCAAUCUAUUUAGAAGUUAUAUUUUUUUAAUCAUGAUUAAUCUAAAAUAACUAGAUCAAAGGAAUAUCUAAUAAUAUUAAUUAUUACAAAGCUAUUGUGACUAUUAAUUUUUAUUUUUAUUAGAAGGAUUUUUUGAAUAAUAUCUCUAAUGAGAAAUAAAUAAUCAUCUAUUACUUCUACAUAAAUAAGUUUAGUUUUGUUCACUGAAUGUAUGCUAUGUCUUUUAACAAAUUUUUUUAUCUAAGAAAGAAAUUGAAGCUCUUGAAUCUUACAAGAGAAAAACCUUAUAAUGUUUAAGUUUUAAACUAACUUCUAUUAUAUAUUAAUAAGAAGGUUCUAAAAAAAUAUAUGAUCUUUAUUACCUAUUAUAUAAGGUUCCAACCACACGGUCCCUAUUAUAGCUAGAUAAACUUAUUUUUUGACAUACUGUCUUUUUUGAUAGCCAUAUUCUUCAUUUUGUGAUUACUUUAUUUUUUUUAGAUAAUAUUAAGUAGUAAGCUUAGGUUCUUGACAAUACAAGUAUAAUCAUUUUUGUUAAUGAUAAGUCUUUUCUUGCUUAGUAAGAUAUUUAAAAUGUAUUACAUCAAUUUGUAUAUUUUCUAUUUUCAAAAGUAUGUGUUAAAAAGACAUUAGUAUUGCCAUUGAAUUAUAAAAAUAUUGAGAUCAAUUUUUGUGACUCCUAUAUCCAAAUUCAAAAAAUUAGAUAUUACAUUUUAUAGAACAAUCAGUUAUUUGACUCAAUGUUUGAAAAUUAAUUAAAUUUAGCAUUAGUUUCUUUACCUUACAUACGUAUGAUAUAUGGCCAAUACAUAUGAUAUAUGGCUAACUUGUUGGCUAAGUAUUCAAUCCACUAAUCUGUCAUGGACAUGCAUACUUACUUCAAUAAGAAGUUUUAAAUAAAAGAUAAAUGUAUGUAGAUUUCAUAUUAUCUUAUAGCAAAGCUUUUUAAAAGCUUCAUAGAUGCAUAUUUGACUUUAUACAUGUUUGUAGUUGAUUGAUAGGUUAGAAACUUAAUCAACAAGUUAGACAUGUAUUGCAUGUGCUAAUAGCUUAUAGAAUAAACUAACUACAUGAUGUAUAUAUAAGAAACUUGUCUUCUAAGUUAGACAUGUAUCAAGGGUCUUAUAGAAUGUGGCUACAUAGUUUUUAGUUAGAUAGUAUGUAUGGAAGCAAGAAUGAAGUCUUCUUCACUAUUUUCAAUACUUUUUUAGUCUUUAGUCUUAUUUUAAGACUUUCGAGUCUUCUUAUCUUUGGCAAUAGCUAUUUUAAUUUAAUAUCAUAUCUUUGAAUGAUUAUCUAGUCUUUUUGAAUAACAUAAGAGUAUAUUGAUCUUUUAAUUCUUUGAAAUUCAUGUCCCUAUCACAAUCACCUUUAGACAUGUACAAAUAUGAAACUACAUCUAUAAAGUUUCUAAGAAGCUUCUCUACAAGAUAGUAUCAAAUUAAUCUAUUUUUAUCUACUUCUAUCUAUUCAAAUUAUCUAAAUGAUUAUUAGAGUAAACAUAUAUGUCCGUGGCAAUAGCUCCUUUUCUCAUUGUUCUUUUACAUUGAAGAUUUUCAAAAAUGUUGCAAAAUAAAUUUAUUAUUAAUUUACACAAAUUUAUAUCAAUUUUUGAUUUUCUAUGAUUUUAAAAAAAAUAAUUAUAAUAUAAAUCUUAUUAUAUUUCAAAAAUUUCCAAAUCACCUUAAAUAAUCUUAAUUUUGUAAAGUUCUUAUAAAUUUAAUAUCCACACAAAUUACUUAAAGCCAAUGUUCAAAGAAACUUUAUGAAAGUUUCUUCUUAAUCUUCCUCUUCAAUCAACCAAAGAACUUUGCAAUUCUUAUAGGUAUCUAGUUUUGGAUCUUAAGGUUUAGUUUUGGCCUUGAUUUACAACUAAUCCUCUUUAUAUAUCAAUGUCUAGCUUUUUAAAAACGAUUUACUGAGAACUAUUUUUUAUUUUUAUCUAAAAAUUCUUAUAAUAUUAUUUUUUUCUACUCCAUUUUAUUUUAUCUUUUUUAUGCUCUUAUAAUAAGUAAGAAUAUUUUUUUACAAAAAAAACAACAUUAAUACCAAAUAUUUUAACAACUUGUCUAUCUUUUAGCUUUAUUUUUUUAAAGUAAUUUUCUACUUUAUUUGUCAAUUAAAAUUGUUUUAAAAAAUCCAUAUUUUUAUCUUUUAUGUAGUAAUUGUAUUACAAUACAACAUGAUUUUUUAACCAGCCAAUUCAAAUAUUCUUUGUAUUUUUUAUUGUUAAAGAAUUUUUUAAAAAAAAACUUUUUGAUAAGUUUGUCUUUAAAGGUUAUAGAUGAUGAUAAAUCGAAUAAAUUAUAUCAUUAAUAUUUUUUUAAAGUCCAAUUUUUUUUACAAUCCUAGCAAAUUUUAUUUCAAUCUAAAUAUUCAAAGCACAAUUGUAUAUGUCUAUUAUUAAUGAGAUAGUUUAAGAUGUAUAAUAAUAUAAGUUAAUUAUGAAUAAUAUAUAUAUAUAUCAAUUUGAUUUGAUUUGAUUUAUUUCAAUGAUAUUUCAAGUGAAGUAAAUAGAGUAUUUAUAAUUUCUUCAAGAAUCAAUAAUAAAAUGCUAAUAGAAAUCUUUGAAACAACUUUUUAGUAUAUAAACCUAGAUCAAUUUUUAUUGAUUGUUUCAAAAGAAGAAUUGUUGACAAAUAUAACAUUAUUAAAUAAUACAUUUAUAGAAUCUAAUAAAUACAUAAUUAUUUUAUAUAUAGAUAAUUUAUAAAUAAUUUUUAUAUUUAAAAGAAUUAAUUUAUCUAUUUAUUUUGUAUGCAAAUUGUCAUAUACGAAUUUUUUCUCUUCCAAUGAUAUUAUUUAUAAAAAUAAAAUAUUAUAAACUAAUAGAAAUCUAAUCCAUUUAAAUCAAAUAUUAAAAAAUAAUACUAUUUAGAUUAGAGUUAGAAUGAUAAUAUAUAACAUAGAUUAUGUGGCUAAAGUAAUUUACAUACACAUUUAAAUAUUAUAAAUGAAGAGAAAUUCUUUUAAAAUUAGACUCUAUGGCUUGUAGAGCCAAAUUAGUUGGAUUAGUGUCAAAUUUCAAAUAUGGAGACCAAACAAUGAAGGUGCAUGAAGUUGUGGUGAUAGUUGUAUCUUCUUGAAUGUAGGAUCUCUUUAAAAAAAAUUAACAUAGUUGUAUCUUUUUGAAUUUAGAAGCAACAAACUUUAGUGGACUGCAAUGAAAGUGAGUUACAAUAACAUGACCAUUCUUUUUAUGUGUGGAAUAGCUUCAAUCUCAUUGGAUCUAGUUUCUAUGAUAUGUUUAUGCAUUGUGAAAGGGCAUAUGUUUUUAGUGAUUUUGACAUAAUUUUUAGUUAUUCUAUUGGACAAGAAUUUUAUUAUAUUGUAGAUAAUUAGAAUUGAAUGACUUGAUUAGUGAAACCUCCUUAUUAGUUAAGAUGAAAAUAUUAUUUUAUUAGCCAAAAACAUAUGUUGCCCUUUUACAAUGUAAAAAUUUAUGUUUCAUUUUCACACGUGUCCUUUUUCAUUGCAUGCUACCUUAUUUUGUGUUAAAUUGAUUUUCACAAUAUUACCCCUUUCACAAUGUAAAAAUGUAUGCAGUCCUUUCACAUAUAUUACCUUAUUUUGUGUUAAAAUAUUUUUCAUGCCCAAUAACAUAGGUUUUUUCUAGAAUAUAUAUAUUACAACUGAUUGGAGUGACUCAAAGAUAAAAUAAAAUGAAAUAACACUAUGCUCAAUAUAACUAUUUACAUAAGGAUUUAUCCCCUAUUAACAAUAAAUAUUACUAUAUCAAAUGCAGGAGUUGGAUAUGUAGUUCUAUGGUAUCAGAAGUAUUAAUAUAAUUUAUUCAUUUAUAUUUUAAAAUAGAUUGAAUCACUUAAAAAUUCAGUCUUUGAUACAUUAUGAUUAUUGAGAUGCCCUCAUAUCCACAGUUUGUUAAUUUUCAAUGUUUUGAGAAAAUUAGGGCUCUCGCAUCAAUCCAGGAUCUGUGAAGGCCAAGCCAGGUCAUACCGACUUUCUUGCACAAAUUGAUUUUAGUUGACGCCACAGGCUAAAACAACUCGGAAAUAAUUUAAGGUAAUGGGUCCUACCGUCAAAGGUCAUUGUGGUGGUUCACUCCUUAAUUCAAGGGACUCUGUCAGUGCCAUGCAGGAUGCAGAAAACGUGCAAAUGAUGCAACAACAUGCAUGAAUAAAUUUCACUCAUGGCCACUUUCUCUCCAACAAACAAUAUUCUCUUACCCAUUUCCCUGCCCCGAUGCCGACUAACAUCAGGCAGCUUGGGGUGUACCAUCAAAAUACAUACCAUCCACAUUUGAUAAACCGGAUGAUAUUUACUCAGCUGUGCAGGCAUUGACAAACCAACAAUCACGUCUUGCUGUGAUGCAAUGUCAAACGUCACGUACGAUUAACCAAGUACCAAAAAGUAGAAUGCAUUAAAGUCAAGGUUCUGAGGGCCAAUAAAAAAAACACAAUGCAAUUUAAUUAUGAAACAGAGGCAUCCCAAUAUCUGCCAAAACGAGUGAUCAAACUAGUAUAUGUGCAUGUCAGAAAAUAAAGCAGAAGGAGCUUGAGCACCAUCUCUGUCUAUUGGCACACAACACACUACCAUCAUCAAGUUGAAUGUGCAUGGCUAGGUCCAAAAAUGAAAUUGCCGUGCACAUACUGACAUUUUCGUCAAGCUUGUAUUUACACUCCUCAUAGGACCCCUCAAGGCCACCCCUAAUCUGCCUAAGACAACAGUAACCCCAGCAGCCGCACUGUCGUCACCACGAUCUGGCUUAGAAAUCGAUGUGAAUCAAUUCAGUCUACAUCCUCUAAAAAUACCGAGCGCACUGAAAUGACUGCACAAUCAGAUGGCUUGUUCACAGGGACUUCAUGAUCCCGGCUCCCUAAUAGUUCGAAUUGUUCCAUGACUGUUGCGCACGUUGAGGUUGCUGCUGGUAGGCUCCUGCUUGGCUGUUGCCCCCUGCGCCUCCCAUUCCUUGGGGCUGUUGAAGCAUCUGAUGGCUUGGGGCCGGCCCUGUCUGUGACGGAUGAUACAAGUUGGUAUAUGCCGCGUUUGGAUGCGCAUGCCCGUGCGUCGGUUGCUGAGAAUGCGCGUAUCCACUGUGCUGGCCUUGCCCGGCCAAACUGUAGUACAAGCUCGUCUGCAUGGCCGCUGACGGUCCAAUAUCGCGGGGCAUCGCGGCCUGAAUCCAUACUGUCGAGCUAUCUCCCUGCUGCCAAAAAACGUCCACACUGUUAAUACACCCAACUAACGCCAACCAAAACCAUCGAACCCUCUCUACAAAUGCACGCGGCACAAAAUGCUUGGGACUAUCAACUGACUAACACCAUUCCAUCACGUCCACCCUCAGUACGCAUUCUCACAACUCUGAAGAUAUAUCGCCAUACCUGUUGGCUCGGAAUGUAGAGAGUGCUAUCCUUAUAACGCGAUGUGUUCAUGUCCUCGUAUCCAGAAGCAUUUCCGACUGUCACCGCAGGACUUGACGCAUAUCCUGAAGGCGUUGUCGUGUACCCGCCGUAUCCUACGGCUGGUGCAGGAUGGGGAGCGUUUCCGGCAGCUGCCCCGGGCUUGUACUGGGGCAUCGGAAACUUCACAGCAGUCGCUCCGCCAGCUGGAUAAGACGAUGCCGCAGAUGGAGGAGUGUACGUCGAGCCAGCCGGAGGCUGAGCAUAAGCUGUGCUGCUCGAGUUGUAAACGUGGUGCGGAUAUGGGGGCUGCAAAUACGGGUAACUUGCGGGCAUAUAUUGAUAACUCACGUAGUUCCCAAAGGGUCCCGAAGGUGGCUGUGAAUAAUGCAUCGGCAAAGCUUGCUGCGGCACCACUUGUGCAGGCUGCACGUUACUUCCCGGUUGAGAAGUCUGCGAAGAACUCACGCUCGGUGUGGCAGAAGCUAGCAUCGGAUUUCCUCCCUGCACAAAUCCCCUCGUCAUCAAAUCAUGAAUGUCUCCCAAAACAAAAAUUAUCAACAGUAAAGAAAUCGAUAGUAAAAAUACAACCUCACACUUCUCGAUCCAAUCUAGCAAACACGAGUUCUCACCUCCUGGGAUGCUUGAAGAGAUGGAGCCGCCAUCAAACCAAUAUUCCCAGAAUACUUGCUCGCUGUGUUCGUUGGAACAUAGGGAGGAUAAAGCCGAUCGGAUUCUGCCCCACGGAACGCUGAAGUAUAGUAGCUCGUCGUCGGGUCGUACGCCGGCUGAGAAGAAUCACAGAUGCGGACAACGCAAGCUAAUCAGGCUACUCACCAUGUAUAUCAACAGAUAAAAAAAAAAAAAAAAAAAAAAAAAAUACACUCAAAAUACGCUGGGAAGCAUUCUCGGCGUAUCAACGAUCCAAGCAGACAACACGAGUCACAAACAACAAGCACACACAACUGCAUCCACACUCAACCUCCAUAAUCGAGAGAGAGAACGGAGAGAGAAACGCUAGAAACUAAACAUGACGCGUAGAGCCCAAGUGCUUUACACGUACCACCAUGCUUGGAAUCCGAGGUGCAUCCUGAGGUGCCGACUCCGUUUGCUCGUAACCAUACUGACCGCCAGGCAUUUGUGGCAUCAACCCAAACCCAGGAUAGUUUGACGCCCCAAAAAAAUACGGCGCCGACUGCACCACUGGAUCAGGUUUCGUGUGCUGCUCCUGGGCUGGAACGGCCGGGUCUUGCUGAACUACAGGUGGUGCCUCCACGCUCGCGUCAAUGCUCUCCACCGGAGUAGCUACCUGCUGCAGCCCAUAUGACUGGGCCAUCUCCACUUGGGUAUCCACACUGAAACCCACCCAUAUUCAAACUUUACCUCGAAUGCACAUCAUACAAGCCUUCUCAUCUUAGCACCACUCGUUGCCUCCUACCAAGCACUCCGUCCUAUCCUACAACCAGUGCUCAACGAACAACGCACUCAACCCUGGGACAAACCCCAUUUCUAAGAAAAUUUCACGAGCUCACCUUGAAGGAGCCGGCAACUCGACCGGAGCCUCUUCCACAGCAAUAGUCUCCACGUUCUUCUUGUUCUCUUCAACUUCUGCAUGACCAAAGCUCGUCCCGAAAGCUGACACAAAAUCUGAACCAAAGCUACCGAAGCUCAAAUGCGAACGGUCUGCUUCCGGCACUCGAAGGUGCGUCGGAAUUAUCACCGGCUCGUCUUCUUGUAUGCUCAUAGACUGAUAUGCUUGAGCUAUGCUCGUCGGGUCCACAGCACCUAGACCUUGAGAACCACCGUCCGCUGACGAUCCUAACAAGUUGUGCCCAGGAGCUUUCGCCUUCCACUCCAAGCCGCCGGCACCUGCAGCUGCACGAUAGCGAAAAACACCUGUCAGAUCAUCACAUCCAUCCAAUGAACAUUCAUGCAUCUAGAGCAACACUCCGACUACCCCAACGCCCCGAGUUCCACGCAAAUAACGCAUAUCAUACGACGCAUCCUACCUUUCUGAGUGCCCACGGGCUGCUGUGGGGACCCAUACAAAGGUCGCCCGUUAAAUUGGCUACCACCCAGUACGCUCAUUGACCCGUGUCCUUGCGAGUUGCCUGCCUCCAUGCUCACGGCAGCUUCAUCCACACUUACAUCUCGACUAGACGGUGCAGACGCCGUCGCAGCAGGAGGAGAAGGCGGUCUUGCUGUCUCUAAUUCCCUCUCCAUGUCUGUCUCCAGAUCGCCAGAGCCUUCGGAUUCUGGGACAGAGCUCGCUUGAGCCGAUGGGGACGCCGCACUUGAAUCGAUUGCCGCCUCUGCAUUUGAUGAACUUACAGGCCGAUCUCCAAUAGGACGCUGGUUGCCCACCGCACCGAUGGCACUUUGACCGCCCACAACUCGCAAAUCUACCGAUGUAUGAAGCACCGGGUCCGCACUCGACGAAUAAAAUCCCGAGGACUCCGGAGAAGGCUCAGAAGCUGCUACUGGGGCUACGGCAGCCGGAUAUGAUGGAGACAACGCCGUUUGAACGACCGGCACGGCUGGGGAAGUUGCCGGAGAUUGGAAGCUCGAGGGAGGUGGAGGAGGAGCUGCCCGCGCUUUCAAUAGAUCUGCCAUUGUGCCAUGCCCUGAGGCCCAUGCCCCUUGUGGGGGUCGUGCGGGUCUCACAAACCCGCUGCUUCCAUUAACUGCUCCUCCGGAGCUACUGCUAGCUGGACUUGGAGCUUGAACUGGUGCUGCUGCUGCUGCUGCUGCUGCUGUUUGAGCGCCUGUUGAUGGUGGUACAGAGCUGCAAUUCACAAUCAACAUCAAACAAUCAGGAAUUCAUUAUCUGAAACUAGUAACUCCAUAUCCAACAUACCAAGAAACCACCACUUUUCAACUCCAUAAUCUGCUGUAUCUACGCCCCUCACAGCCAAAACUCAAGCGAACCAAAACAAAACAAUCCAGAGGCAUCUCAGGUAGAAUUUCCACCACAUAUUACAUCAAAAUCUCAUCACACGACUGAAUUCAUUAAUAUGUACACACGGAGCUCUCAGAAUCUGCAUGCUAAGAGGUCAUCACAGUUUUCAUGAUUCAAUUUGAUUUUAUCGUAUCUCGUACGUACCUCGGGGCCGACGGCUUUGCUUGACAGGGUGCAGUAGUUGAAUUUGAAGCUGCGCUAGAACCACGCAAACCAGGAUGAAUGCCAUUCUCUCUUCCGUGCGCUCGACCUCGCCCACCACCAUACUCUGAACAACCAAACUCGCCACAUAAAUCAUUACACCCUUCCAAGAACCCACCUUGCCACGCCCACAGCCGUUCUUCUUAUGAUGCUUGAGUAUUACACCACUUCCUCUAAUUGCAUACAGCAAGUAGCUGCCUCGCUCAGUUGCCAAACACUACUUUCAUGUCAACAUUAAGGGCUUGUACGCGACCGAAGGUGCUUGGGUUAUAUCGACGGGAGAACCUUAAGCUUUAUCAUUCCACUCAUCAUUACCGUAAAACUCACAUCAAUCUCAGCUGAAGCGCUUGAGGAAGUAGAUCGACAUCACAAACUUCGCAAAUCAUCUGAUAUGCUGCUACUCUUCCUCACUAUAUAUCAUGCUCAUUUACAAUACAUUCAGCACAAGCCUUGACUUGAACACUAGGCAUGUCCAUUGGCACUCACCCUGUGAACCCUGAGAACCGUAACGAGGCAGAGAACCCCCGGUUCCACCACCGCCACGUCCACCUCCUCUGAUAUAACCACCGCUACCAGGCCGUCCCCUCAUAUCCGAAUCUCUCGCUUUCAUUCCUCCAGUCUGCCGUAUCAUGGUGCUCACGGAUGUUAAAUACAAUACAGCGCGGUCAGUUCUCCCUCAACUCUUUCGCAGCUUGUCUAUCUACGACUCGGUAAGGAAAUCAAGUUCCACAUUUUCUUACCUCUUUCUUCUUGUCCCGCUUCCUCUUCACUUCGUGAAACGGAUCUGCAUCGUCAAACCCACCAUUAGCACCUCAAAUCAAUCCCGCUAGCCCCACCUGCCCAAACCUACCACAUUGGCGAAAUCCAUGACCCACGAACGCAGUGACGUCAGAAUCGCAGUUAAAUACACAUGUAGCACAGCAGCAGUGCAAAGGGAAAGGUACGGCUCCUAUACCUCCUGCAAAAUACACCCAACCAUAUAAAAACACAUUAAUAACUCGACCCACACAAAAAUUACACUCAUCAAGAUAUUAGCUGCACAACUCUAAGACGCAACUACUGCGAUGCCAACAAAUCUUCGAAUCCAAUCUAUAUAAAAUGUAGAGCGAUUAUAGAAAGACACGGUCAUUCUAGCACAGUAUGAAACUAAAAGCCAUUCUGACCAUACCAAAAGUCACUUUCUACACUUUGUUAAUGCUUCAGCCGAUACGGAUAAGACAACGGGACAGAAUUCUCUUACACAUUUCGGACCUCAAGAGAAGUGUAGGUUGAAUACUUCUACACCAUGCGAACAUAUUGCGAAAUGACGACGUGGUUUGACCCACCAUACAUAAAAUCGAACUCGCUAACAUGAACCGAACGCUCGUACCCAACACAACCCGGACUAGAGCAGCACGUCAUUGCAUCAAUCAUGACCAAAGAGCCCGCUUCAUCCCGCAGUGCAAUUUCAUCAUUUGGAACAGCAGGAGGUCUAUAGCACAGGCUUCACCAUUUCGGUGGCAAACAUGGCGUGCCUUGCACGGAGAUCUAACCCCAUAGAACUAACCACCUAAUCACGACACCGUCGCACAAACCUCUGCUCAAAACUCCAGACUCAUUGAACAUAACUUGCGCAGCACUAGGUCCCAUCCACGACACAAGAACGAUCGAGCCAUAAAAGCCCGAGCACAAACGCACGCGUACCUUGGUUCAGCAGCCGUUGCGCGGCCUCGUUCGGGUCCAUGUUGCACUCUUUGAGCAUGGCAUAAAUCUCCUCUUCGCUGUUGCCGACCACCUCCUUGAGGUCCUGCACCACUUUCUUAGUGCUGGCCGGGAUGUCGACGGCACCGCCGCCGCCCCUGCCGGUACUCAUCUUGGUGGACAGCGCAGCCCCCCUGCAGCUCCACCCCGGGCCGACUCCGCCUGUUGCCUUGCUCCUCCUCCGAUGACCGCCCUCCGUCCCAAUGCUCCCACACGUUGCCGUAUGAUUGAAAUGAUACUAGUUUAGCAAACCUUAGGGUUUCAAGCACAAGCUAUGGCUUUGAAAGGGGGACAGGGAGUAGAGACAGGGGCAAGCAGGCAACACCGUAGUAGGACCGAGCUAAGAUGGAGCACAGCGAACAACAACACGUGAAUGCUGGUGACGAUGGGAAAGAGUCGGAGAUGGCUGGAAAGGCGGGAGACUUGGGCCCCAAACCCUAAUUCCAUCGUCCCGUUCACACUCCGUUUGAAUCUCUGCGGAAAUUUUAAGUUAACCAGGCCCUGCGUCAGUUUGAUCUGUUUUGAAUUUUCAAUUUCGUCAGGAUGAUCAUCCUGCCCUUUUGUGGAUAGCUCCUCGUUUUCCGUCGACGACUCUGUCCGUCAUGGUGCUCUUUUGGAUGAUAUUCGUCGUCCAGGGUCCCCCCCUUUCUGGGAACUUGGAUUGAGUGCAUUCCCUUUGGUUCCCAACGUUGUGCUGCACCUUUGUUAAUACAAAGUCGGCCUCGGAAUUCCACCACCCAUUUACUUGCUUAAUACUCCUACUCCCCCUUCACCUCCCUACUACCACAUUUCUCAAUUAUUAUUGUAAACCUUAACUUCUGUGUUUUUCUGGAUUUUUUUCUUCUUUUUUGAUGUUUGAUUGUGGGUAGUGGGUUGUGUCGAUGUGUAUUCAUUUGAACACUUUUGGGAACCAUCUAAAUUUGCAUCUCUACUUCCAAAGCAUUUUUCUUUUUUUAGAAUGCAAAUAUGAUUUUUUGCAGUCAAUGACAGAUACGAAUACCUGAAUUCUAAAGUAGCACAAUAAAAUUUCUGAUAUAUACAUACAUACAUCCAUACAUAUACCAAAACAUGGUGGGUCAUUCACAUUUGACAAAUGAAAUACUAUGCUGAAAAUCAAUAUAUGACUGAAUGUUUAUAUAUAUAUAUAUAUAUAUAUAUGAGAAUACUCUCACGUUUAUUUACUAAAAUUGAGCAUCUUUUUACAAGUUUAAUGUCACAUAGGAACUAGUAUGUUCUUUUACAAAAAUGCAUUUUAAUAUCUAAUACUUAGCUAAAUUGUUGUAUGACAAGCAUUAAUAUUUACUAUAAAUUGAAAUUGAUAUGCAAAGAAAUUCAUAUUUAAAUUAUAUAUUAAAAAAUUCAAUAUAUAUAUAUAUAUAUAUAUAUACAGAGAGAGAGAGAGAGAGAGAGAGAGAGAGAGAAGAAAUCAUUAAGUGUUGUACCUAAAGCAAGACCUUGAAACUCUGAACCAAGUUAAACACAUCUGUUUUUUCCUAUCUGGCUUCAAGUAAUUUUGCCAAAGAUUAUGGUAAUGAAAAAUCACAUAAUAAUAAAUGAAUAAAUAAAUGAUUGUUAAAUUUUUAGCUCUUUUGAUUUAAAUUUUUAUCAUGUUUCAUGUAAGAAAAUUUAAUUAAAUCAUUGUUUUAUUAAUUAACUGGCAAUGAAACAAAUGUUAAACCUUUGACUUGAUCUACUGAAUAUAUGGAGGAGGCUAACCUCUACUCUAGUACAAUUUCACAAAUCUGGACUACAUAGACUCAAUUGUAAAGUAAGACAUGUUAUUAUUUUUUUAAAUACAUAUUUGAGAAAUUAAUAUUAAUUGGUUUACGAUGAUUAUUUUUUAGAGACAAUUACUACAUGCCAUGCCAAAUACAUCAUAUGUAUUUUAAAUUUAGUUUUCUGUGUUAUAUUACUUAAAAAAAUAUGUAAAUUUAUUAUCUUUUAUUGUAAGAAAAUUGAAGUCAAAUAAAAUAUAAACUUUCACUAUUUUAAGAAUUUGUUUGCCAAAAACCUAAACAAAGUGAACAGCAUCAUUUUGCAGAUGUGGCCAUUUUUUACAGUACAUCUUAUCAUGCCGCAAUUAAAAAUAAUAAUUUUUAGCACUUCUGUGUUAAUAACAAUUUGACAUUCUAUUCUUACUAUGUUCAAUAUCUUCUAAUCAACAAUUGGAGUAAUAAUAAAAUUCCAAAGCAAUAAUCAAGGUAAAAUUUAGGUUAAGAAUGACACUAUUAUUUUUUAAAAUAUUGAUGUCUUGUACAUAACAAUUGUAGGUGAUUUGUUGGUGAAUAAAUGCAAUAAUCUAUUUAAUUCAUACAUAGAUAUGUAUCAAUAUAUAUAUAUAUAUAUAUAUAUAUAGAUCAAAAUUUAAUAUUUAUUUCUAAACAUAAGAAGUAUUAUGUAUAAAACACAUCUAAUCUAAAGGACUUUGUACAACUAUUUUUUAAUAUAUUUUUAUGUAUUAGAAUAUUUUGUUUUAUAAAAAAUUCUUUUAUAAUAAUUUCAACUAUAUCAAAUUCAAAAUAAAAAAAUAGUCAUGCCUAAGUUAUAUCCAGCUCUAUUGAAAGCAUUUCUAAACCUUUAAAGUACAUAUAAGAGCUUGCAAGCAAAAAAUUUUUCACUCAUAUUUUUCUUAUUCAAUUAAAAUUUUGUCUAAAAAAUUAUAUAAGUAAAUAAAUAUAUAUAUAUAUAUGUAUACCUAUAUAUAUGCAUGAAAUUAUUAUUGAAUUAUAUUACAAAAUAUCACUAACAAGAAAUUAUAAACUUAAUCGACCCUUAAUUUUUUUUGAAUAUUUAUAAUUAUUAGCAAUCCAAAGUUUUAUUAUUUUUAUUAUUAUAUUAAUAUUUUUUUACCAUAAAAUAUAUAAAAAGUCAAAUUCCUAUAUGUUAUUAUAUUAUAUAUAUAUAAUCAUAGAUAACAAAGAAGAAGAAAAAACAAUGUCUACAUUACUUCUUCUUUUUUGUUAAAUUAGGUUCUACAUACUUUGUGACCUAUAAACAAGAAAAAAUAAUUUAGAGUAGCAAAAACAUUAUAAUAAAAAUUCAUAAAUUAAAGUAAAGAAUAGUUUUCAAUAAAAAAUACUUAAAAAAACUUAGAUUGUUAUAUUAAUAAGACUAAUUAUAAACCAUGGUCAAAAUUAGAAACCAAGCCACAAAUCCAUAAAUAUCUAUGAUAAAUAUUUAAUUAUUUGUUCAAUUAGAGAGUGGAAUUAAAAAAAAAAAAAAAAAAACUUAAUAAGAAUUUUAUAAAUGAUGAUUUUAAGAUGUUUAGGUUGUCAUGACUAUAUAAGAACUUGUCAUAAAUAUAUGUAUUUAUUCCAAUAAUUACUUAUAUGAUUAGGUAGAUGUAGAUAAAUAUUUAUUAAUUUCAUAAUGUCUUCUUGAAUAGCUUCUUAGAAUCUUCAUAGACGUAGUUUUGACUUUAUAUACGUUUGUAAUUGAUUGGUAGGUUAGAAACUUUGUCAACAAAUUAAUCAUGUGCCACAUGUGUUGUUAGCUUGUAGAACAAGCUUACAAUGUAGUAAAUACAUAAAUAACUUGCCUUAUAAGUUAAGACAUGUGGCUAACAAAGUCAACACAUGUAAGAGGUCUUAUAGAAUAUUACUAUGUAGCUCCUAAUUAGAAUAUAUAUAUGAAAGCAAGAGUGAAGCCUUCUUCAUUCUUCUCAAUGCAUUUCUACUCUUUAGUCUUAUUUUAAGACUUUCUAGUUUUCUUGUCUUUAGCAAUAGUCAUUUUAGUUUAAUACUAUAUCAUCUUUAAAUAGCUUUCUAGUUCUUUUGAGUGACACAAGAAUGUAUUAAAGAUUUCUUUUUUUAAGCUUUAUAUUCUUAAUAAUUUAACAAGAGUGUUAACUUAUUAUUUUUGUCUUGUUUUAGAAGUGAGUGGAUUAUUAUACUUCCAUUGUUGCAUUUUGAAGGUUGCCAACUAUAUAUUCUUAAAUAAAAAAUCUUAUUAUUUAACAUUGAUUUUUUUCCUUAAAUAGAGUGGAUUAUUCUUCUUUAUGAAAAUUUUCAUUUGAUAUUAGAGGUUGUAGUUUAUUCUUCUCUAAUUAAACUUUUUGAAUUUUUUUUGAAUUGUCUAUGGAAGGAAAGAUUAUAGAUGCUACUCUUAGUGGAAGUGAAAAUAGAUUUGCAACUAUUAUAGAUCUUUAUGAGCUUAUCAAUAUUCUUAAAAUAGAAAUCUCAUAUAUUUCUAAUAUGAAUUAUGGAGAUACUAUUCCUGCAUCUAUGGAAGAAGUUCAAAGUCUAUGUCAAGAAGUUAUGCAGUUGAAGGAAGCAAGAAGAUUGGACUCACAACAAAAUUCAAAAAAUUUUGCUUCUAUGAAUAUAGUGGGAACAAGGAUUAAUAUGCCUAAGAAGUUUGAUGGAACAAGAUCAAAAUUUUGAAGAUUUUUGCAAUAAAUCAAGUUCUAAUUAAGGUUGCAACUCUUCCAAUACUCUAAUGGAUUUAUUCAAGUUGGGUUCAUAAACACACUUCUAUCUAGAAGUACUCUUUGUUGUUUAUACCUUUGAAAAAGAAAAAGAUUUACAAUUCUAUUAUAAUUUGAAUUCAUUCUUAUAAGUAUUUGCGACGAUAUUUGAAAAAAAUAAUUGAGAAAGAGUAGUAGAGAGUAAGUCCAUAUUUUUACAAUAAAGAUCACGAUCAACCACUAUAUAUGCUGCUAAAUCCUAAAACCUUGCUUGCAAUGUGGACUAGAAUGACAAAGUCUCUAUCAAUAAAUUUUGAUAUGGAUUGAAAGACAAUGUCAAAGAUUUAUUAUUCACAAUGCUAAAAGCAUAAUCUUUGAAAUAAUUUAUUACUCAAGUCAUUACAUAUGACAAUUGAUUAUUUAAAAAGUGUCAAGAUUAAGAUUUUUCUCAAAAAGAACAAAUCAAAUAAUGAUGGCAGUUCUUAAGUUUUCAAAAACUUAUUCAUCAAAGCCAAAAUCAAUACAAAUUGAUACAGUGUAUUUUAAACAUCUUACUAAGCAACAAAAGACUUAUUGCCAUCAAGAAGAUUUGUACCUAUAUUGUAGAGAAUUCAAGGAUACUGUUCAACAUUAUACAAAGAAGUAAUGCAAUCACAAAAUCAAGAGCAUGGUUGCUAAAGAAGAUAACAUGUUAGAAAACGAGUUUCUUUAGUUGUAAUAGGGACUAUUUAACUAGAAUCUUACACAACUACUAAUAAAGAUUAUAUUCUUUCUUUAAAUCCCUCACCUUUAUUUUAUAAUAGAAGUUUGUUUAAGAUCAAAAAAUUAAAAAGUCUUAGCUUUAUUAGAAUCAUGAGCCUCAAUUUAUUUUAUAGACAAAGAUUUUGUCAAAAAAUAAACUAUAUCUUUAAUUAAGAAAAUCAAGCCUAUGCAAAUAGAAGUCAUAGAUGGUUGUAUUUUUAUUGACUAGAGAUAUUACUUAUAAGACUAUUCUUUUAGAUGUAAAAAUUAAAGAUCAUAAUAGCAUAAUAAUAUUUAAUAUAAUAAGUUCACCAUCUAAUUUGAUUAUUUUAGGAUUAUUGUGGUUAAAAAAAUAUAACUCUUAAUUUAAUUAGAUUUCUUAUAAUCUCAAUUUUUUUGUUAGUUUAAUUUAAAAUCUUGUUAAUCAAGUAGAAAUACUUAAAUCUAAUACAUCCAAAUUUUUAUUAUUUGUCAUCAAUAUAUAUCUACUAUAAUUAUUAUUUAAGUAAUAUAAAUAGGUAGAAAUUUUUAAAAAUAGGUUAAUUUCAUAAUAUCUUCUAAAAGAGCUUUCUAGAAGCUUUUUAGAUGCUAUUUUGACUUUAAAUAUAUUUGUAGUUGAUUGAUAGGUUAAAAACUUGGUCAAUAAGCUAUCUAUGUGCCACAUGUGUUGGUAGCUUGUAGAAAAAGCUAACUAUGUAGCAUCCAUAUAGAAAACUUACCUUGCAAGUUAAGAUACAUGUCUCGUAAAGUCCACAUGUUUUUAGAGGUUCCAUAGAACGUCACCAUAUAGAUCCAAGUUAGAUAAUAUAUAUAGAGGUAAGAAUGAAGUUUUCUUCAUUUUUUUCAAUUCCUUUCUUAUUUCUAGUAUAGUUUCAAGAGUCUCUAAUUUCUUUGUCUUUUAGCAAUAGCCAUUCCAAUUCCUUUUUAAUAUACAUAUUUCAUUAUUAUUAUUAUUAAUAUUUUUUUUGUCACUUUUAUUUUGACACAUAUUUCCUAAGUUUAUGCACCUUCUUUUAGUUCAUGUGCAUGACAUUGGUAGAUGCAAGAACUUUUAUGCAUGCCACAAAAAAUGGUCAUCUUUUAUUAUAUAUGCCAUGCCCAUUUCUAAUGGUGGGGAGAUGUUAAGUGGUAUUCUUAGCUAACAUUAUGAUUUUUAAAACAUUUGUUUUAAAAAAAAAUGCAGAUAUUUUUUUAGAACAUUAUCCUUAUGAUUAUUUUAUCAAGCUUCAAGAAAGAACUCAACUACCAUUUGGACCAAUCCAUAGGCUAUGACAAAAUGAAUUGGCUACACUCAAGUACUAUAUUAUUAAAAACUUGGCUAAAAACUUCAUAGGCUAUUUUAAAUCUCUAGUUGAAGCUCUUAUCUUAUUUGUAAAGAUAAAAGAUGGAUCUUUGUGGACUAUGUGGACUAUUAAGGAUCCAAAAAGAUCAUUAUUAAGAAUAGGUAUUAUCUACCUUUGAUUUUAGGACUUUUUAAUCAAUUGAAUCAAAUAAAGGUCUAUAUAAAAAUAAAUCUAUAAAGAACAUAUAAUUUGGUACGUUGUCAUACUGUAAAUGCUUAUAGUAUGUAAAAAUUAGUUAGAACAUAUUACAUAUUAAUAAAUCUAGAUGUUUGUUAGAGUGGCUAGUAGAUUAAAUUAAAAGGAGUUGGUAUAAGAAACUUUACUUUGUUUCUUUACUUGUUUUGAUUUUGACAUUAAAUAUAUAUAUAUAUAUAUAUAUAUAUAUAUAUAUACAUAUAGGACCUAAAUGUUUAGUAUGAAGCCUUGGGAGAAGGUAAAAGCCUAAGGAUGAAAAUCUAAACUAAUAGGAGACUAAUUGAGAGGGAUAAAAGCAAGGCAUGGUCGGAUGAAGGCAAAGAAUGGAAAACUUCAUCCCUAUUGGUCGAAGGCCAUGUCCAAUGGGCUUCAAGGAGGCUGCCUGAGGCCUUAUUAGGGAUUAGGGUUCCUCUUUUGAGGGCAUUCAGAGAUUACAAGCUAGGGUUGUUAAGU